GUCGUGCUAUGCACAGGACAAAAUUUGAACGAUUCACACACGAAGAUUGAAUACUGCUAGACAUGCAUAUGAGUGAGAAGGGCACUAGCCGCUGGAUUUGUGUGCACAGCUCGGGCACAAGUAUCGUUUGUGGAGCAGUUUAACAUUAGCUAAUGGCGCAUCAUAAUAGUCCACGUUUCAACAGGGCAACCCUACAAAAUUGGUGUGCUACAUAUAUAAGACUUACAUACACAACAGUAGCAUGCAUUAUUCAAAAGAGCAACAUCCUAGUGUAAUCCUCCAGGGCGGGGAGCCUCUGCUCAUCGUCAUAGCCAUACAUGAUGCUGACCAUCCUUGCAAAGUUGAGAGACGUCCCGAUGAAGCUAGGUGGUAGUGUGGACUUUGUCUGAGAGAAGCAUUCCCUGUUUAGAUCCUCCCAUUCACCCGCUAUCAUAUCCAACAUGUGCUUCUCUGCAUCAGCAUGAGGGUUUUCUCUCUGGUACAAAUCCUUGUAUGAUCCGUCGAGCCCUUCCUGCAACUCAUCCUGCAUGGGACACAUAAUUUCUUUUCAGAUCAUGCCUAAUGUUGUCAAUGUCAACUUGAAUGCACACCCACCAGGAUAUGGUACGAAAUAACUCAUGUAAAUAAUUAGUAUUACUAAUCACAUAGUCGUGCGAUAAACUUCUCGGUGAUUCUGACCUUUGCACUCCCCAUGUCAUCCCAGAGCCUCAUGAUCUUUGCAGGGCAGGAGAUGACCCUAAGGAUGUGGUCGUUGUUGUCCUCUGUUAAGUCAUGCCCAAGCAUGAAUAAAAGAUGCAAAAAUAAAAGUGGUGCUCCUGAAGUGAUGACACCAUUUCUUAGGUAGUCCUCCGAUGUGGGAACCUGAUUAGUAGAUAGCCAUUUUCCCUCGAUCAUGAAUCCAUCAAACAAAGUUGCCCACUGCAAGAAAAAAGGCAUGAAUGUAAUAUUAAUUCUUCCAUUGUUAUUUUCUUAUAUUUUAUUUCAUUACAAUUAAUCACAAAUUAUAUAGUACACAGAAAUACGUGAGGUGGUACUAUUAAUAUAUUUAUUAGUUGCUUAGACAAAUGAAACUAAAGAAAAUUAAAAAACAUUCGAGUAAACAUACUGCUUGCUUGAGAUGAUUGAUAGGAUUCAGUCCAUGCUCUUUUAUGACCAUAUCAGCGAUAUCAUUUGUGAUGGUGUAAAGAGCCUUGUAACAUGAUAUCAUGUAACUCGGCAGUGACUCAGCAGCUGCAAGAUCCCACCUGUCAAAAUAUGCACUUUGCGCGUGAAACUUCUGUAAUAAAAAUUAUAUUAUGUGUUCAUGUAUAAGGUCGUGACUAACCAGUGAGUUUGAUUAUACCAUUAGCAAAAAUAGGCCAUUCUGGGCAUAAACAGCCUUGAGUAUGCACUGCUUUUUCUUUUUGUAUGAAUGAUUAUAAAACUAUUAGUAUAUCAAGAUAUUUCUCGCAAAGGCCUAAUGUUUAUGUAAAACCAAUCCUAAUACCUCUUUAUACAUGAUGUGUCAAAAUUAUAGAAUUUUUAAUGUGCAAUUAGACAUAUCUAAGAUGUCAUUCAUUUACAAACAAAUGUAAUUAUACUUCAUUCCUAAAAUUCAAUGUUGUUGUUAUUACGGGAACAUCAAUGCUCACAUUUUGAUUGCCUCAUUAAAGAGAGAGAGCUCCUCAUGUGUGGCGACAAGAUCAAAGAUGUCAUCCACAAUGUAGACCAUUGAGAUAACCUUUGUGGCCUCAACCCGAUACCUUGAGAAGGAGAAACCCUCGAGGAUAGUCAUGGACCACAUGUACCAUUUCAGAACUUGGUCCCUUGCAGCUGGAAUUUCUUGAGACAAUCCCAAAUCCACCCACCAUCUGUGUGAAAAUGACGUUUUCAUAGUAAAAAAACCACCACACCAUUAAUUGUACCAAUACAUGAGCAAAAAAAUAUGUUAAUCUAUUAAUUCCAAGUGAGUUCUCUCUUAUCAAUAUGUAGGUGGGCCAAUGUCCGCAACAACUAAUAAUGGAAGGAGUGUAUUUUAUUAUACCUCUUAACCUCCUGCAUUUCACUUUGGUGUUGCAACUUCUUCAUCUGAAAUUCUACAAGUGCCAGCUUCUCAAUUGCAGUGUGCAUGGUAGGCAAGUUCUGGAGGUAACUCAAAUGAUGCCUAGCCUUGUAUUGCUUCAGGCUCACAUGGUAGGGAUGGUCUAGUGACUUCAUCACAUAUCUCGCAAGGUUAGGCUCCAAAUACUUAAGUGAAAAUUUCAGGUGCUUGCUUGAGAAUUCCUUUGCCUUGUAGAGUGAAGCUUCUCCCAUGUUGAGGUGUGACAUGUCAUGCAAGCUCAGCAACCCUCUAAGGUCUUUGCUAUGCCUAAGGUUGAAAUCACCAUUAUCGUUUGUGAACUUCUGAAGAACAUCGUCUGCCAUACACCGACAAGAAGGGGUCUUAGGUGCAUGCCAUACAUAACGAAAAUAAUACGUCUCAUGAGAGGUGCUUCUAUGCUACACAAGGGAAUGUUCUUUUUUAUUAUUAAACUUGGUUACUCUAAGGCUAAUUUAUUAUUAGCAAAAUUAUCACAAUAAAUCAUCAUUGACAAAAUUGCACUCAAGUUUCCAACCUGGUGUGUUUAUCCCAACAUACUAAACUAGUAUUUUACUGACCUGCCGAAAUAUAAUAUCCAACUUCUCUCAUCAGCCUUAAGGAAAGGGUUGCGUCAAGUAGAUCAUCACUAUGGAGAAGAUCCACAGACGACUCCAUUAUGUUAUCGAUUUCAUCCUGGAAAUAGUGGUCAAUGCAGAGGCGUUUGAGGUGAUCAACCGUGCUCAACAUUCCUUUGUUGCUUUUCAGAUGUUGAUGAAGCAACGCUUGAACAUUCAAUAGGCUUUCCUGGUAUUGCACAUAGAGCAAACUUCUUUUUAAAAAGAAUACAAAGUCUAGAUAAGUGCAAUAUAUAUCAUAUAUUAUUUGCAUUCAACAAUAGGCAAUAUCAUAGGAAAAUAGUGCAUCUAAUGUAGGUUUAUAUUUUAUUAACAUAGUUCGGAAAUUAACAAUAAAAGAUAGAGAUUGAAAUUGUGCUCAUUCCAGAAACAUCAUUAAUUAUUUAAUGAAACACACAUUUUCUAUGUCUCGCUGGUUCCUGAAGAGGAGUCAUUAUUCAAAGUUAUCUUGAAAAGCCAAUCCAUGAAUUGCUAGACUGUGGUUAUAAGAUUCUUGAGGAAGGAUUAAAUUUUUGACUCGAUUUAUACGACAUCAAUUUAGGGACGGAGACAGUAUAAUUAGCCAGAAAAAGGCACACAAACAUGCUAAUUGCAUUCAAAGUACAUUCUAAUGUUGCGGUCUAUAUAUGUUUGUACCGUAAAAAUAUAUACCUGGAAGUCAAAAUCAUCGGACAGCUCAUGGGACACAGGCUCCCGCCCGGGAUAUAUCACCGGCGAAGGGCGAAAGAAGCCACUGUUUCGGCCACUCUGGCCACCACUUCUGGCCACCGGCAAAGCCGAAUGGAGCAAUGGCGCGAAGGAGGAGAAGGAGAAGCAUGCAUGCGCAGCAGCCAUCACUAGCCGACUAGCGUACUUAAAUAAUGUGAUGUGUGUUACAGCUGAUCGACUAGGCAGGCUACCUAAUUAAUUAGGUAACUAACUAGCAUGGAUGAUAUGGGAUGAACAAGAGUACGUAGCAGGCUGCUGCUUCUGCUAUGUCUUGGGAUGGAUGGGGGAUAUGAGCAAUGCAUGCAUGCCCUCCAGAUUUAUAGAGGAGACGAGGUUGAGCAAUGCCGCGUCGAUCCUCCACCGAGUGGCGAGCCAUGUGGAAAAUUUACUACUAAACGUCAUGCAUGCGCUAAUCAAGUUUAGUUUUUCGUCUAGGGCUAGUGCACCAUGCAUUCUUUGUUUGGAGAGUGAACCAUGCAUGCACCACGCACCAUGCACCUUGCUCUGCACUCUGAUGUCUAGUCUGGUCGUCGUUAGGAGACAAAUACCGCGACAUCGUUCGUGCACACGGUUUCUCCCUGCACUGCACCCACAAGAGCCACACACGUAAGUAGUACUACUCUAUAUAGCUAUAUUUGUACGUCCAGCCACGUGAACGUCCAGCCACACACGUAAGUACUCUGACACCUGGACAAAAGGGUCUAGGUAGUAGAGGGGGCCAUCGAAAGGUCUCCAGAUUGACCAGUUUUCCAACGGUUGCUGCCUGUCAAGCUCACGACAAUGUAAGUAUGACAUGCAUGCACAGUAGCUAGCUACUAAUAGAGCGGUCAAAAAACAUUUACCCCACCUCCACACCCCCAAAAUGUAAAGUGUGUGUACAAUACAAUGACUGGUACAGCUUCCAUUGUCUCGUGUGUGUAAGUGACGCUUUCUCGAAUUCUUGGGUCAAAUUGUUACUUUUGGUUGUUACAUACAAGCGCACUGUUCAGCAACGUAACAUUGAUGUUGAACGGAAGAUAGACGUGAAAAAUAGAAAAAGGGACAGAAAGGAUGGAGUCUUCACGGAGACUGGUGGCCCCGCAAUGAGUCAAAGCUCUAGAUCCAGUGUAUCUCUCAGCACCUAAAAGAAAGUUUUUAUUCAACACGAAAUUGUAUUUCUAGCCAUUUAUCGACCUGAAGUUAGCUUUCUUACAAAUUUAGAAAAACACUCAGUUAUGUCCAUGUCACCCGCAAAAAAAUUAUACUGUUGAUGCAUCAACCACUGAUGCCAUUAUCAACUUUGACCCCCAGCUGAACCAUGCAUGCACAGUAGCUAGCUACUAAUAGAGCGGUCAAAAAACAUUUACCCCACAAAAUGUAACAUGUGGGUGUACAACGACUGGUACAGCUGGCAUUGUCUCGUGUGUAAGUGGCGCUUUCUCGAAUUCUUGGGUCAAAUUGUUAUUAUUUAAAUUUGAAAAAUUUGUUAUUAUUUACUUUUGGUUUGUUACAUAGAAAGAGCACUGUUCAUCCACGUAAAAUUGAUGUUGAACAGAAGAUAGACGGGAAAACCAGAGAAAGGGACAGAAAUGGCGGAGUCUUCCCGGAGACUCAUGACCCGCAAUGCGUCAAUGGCCCAGUGAAUCCCUCAGCACUGCUUCAUUACCAACCUACAGAAGGGUCUUUUUUUCAGAAGAGAGGCGUCACGCCUACAAAAGGGAUUGAUCAGCCCACUUAAGUGAAUAUACCACUUCUCAACCUAAAAAAUAAAGUUUUUCUUCGACGUGAAUUCAUAUUUCUAGCUAUUUAUCGAUCUGUAUGUAGCUUUCUUACAGUUUUAGAAAAACACUUAAGUAUGUUUAUGCUGUCCAUGUCACCCGCAGAAAUGUUAUACCGUUGAUGCAUCUUUUACAGUCUUUCUCUUAGAAAGCAGCUUAUAGCUAGAAGACAUCCAGGUGGGUAGUAUUUCACGCUCUCUCAACAUUAUGAAAUAGUGGUACAAAUAUAGCACCAAGUUACACCACAAAAAGUCACCAUCGAUAUCUGGUAGGAGCAUGCCACCAAAACAAAGAGAAUCUCGCAUCAACGAGAGAUUUUCCAUAUCUGAGGAAACAAACAUGUAGAGGAGAGUGACCUUUGACUACGAGGAAACAAACACUAGUAGGUUCAUGCUAUUCGGUACUAACAUUAACGACGAAGAAUAAAUUGUUACUUUUCCACACCUUUUCUACUUAUACGUCAUUGCAUACGUUGGAAGUCAAAAAGAACAUAAGAAAAUGUGUACUAUAAACUGAUAAAAUUGUAUACGUGGCAUAAAACUGCAAACGUAAAAAUAUGACAUAAAAUAUAAAUAUAGACAUUUUUUUGUGGUUUUACAUGGUUAUGACUUGUAUCUUGCAUUUCUGAUGCCGAUUUUUCGUCAGGGGUCAGAUUUAUGUAACUAUUUGUAUAUUCUAUAUUUCUGAUGCCGAUUUUUCGUCAGGGGUCAGGAUUUAUGUAACUAUUUGUAUAUUCUAAAUGCAAUGACGUACCAAAAUCAUGGUUCGAAAAUAACGUAUUCCGGACCCUAGGCACUGAAUAGCAUUUGGUGUGCGUAUGCGUUUGCUGCUAUAUUUUGUAUCAGUUGAUGGUGAUCAUGGGAUAAUGUGGAACUUGACCCUAAGAAACUUGAGUGGCUUACUAGGGAAUUUAUGUCCAGAUUUGGAUUGUGUGCCGUCAGUAGACUUCAUACUGCUGAAAUCUUCUCAUUGUAGCCUGUCACACUUUUAUAAUCUGGCUACAUUUUUUGUGACCAUACGUAUUAAGUUUGUGAUAAGUGCGUUGGUUAUAUACAUUCUUGAUACGGAGAGCGGAGACGAUAAGAACUUCCUUCUAGAAAUAUAUAUCAUGGGGUCGCUAGCUAGAUGGUCCGAACGGAUAUUUCCCAGAAACCACAAAUGUACACGACAUGGACAUCGAGUGAUGUUUUUUACUUUCUAGCUAUUGACAAGCUGGCAAUGCACUUGUGGAUCUCAAGUUGUCGUCUGACGUACAGACAUGAGAGACCGUGUGAUGAAGUAUCGUGACAUAUAUACAUGUAUGGUCAUCAUGCAUGAAGUAUCCGACUAGCUAUGUACUACGUGUGAAAAGUAUUAUUUGGCUGGACACAACAAGAGUCGCUGCCUCAGCUAUGUUGCUGUCUGGAGAGCCUGUUGGUUCAAGAAAUUACUGCUGAGAUUGGCUGCAGUUCGGUCAGUGACCUAGCUAUCAUCCCUUAGACUGGCUGGAGUGGAGCCAUAUUCAAGCUUACUCUAGAAGCAAAAGCGCACUUGGCUGCACCGUCUGUGUUCUGAUUGAUUGUACACUUGUUUUGCUCUGGGCCUCUGAAUCUCCUCUGGUUUCACCUUUGUGAGUCGAAGAAAUUUCCUGUGGCGAAUUUAUAUUGCAUGAGUGUUUGUCUAGUGCACCAUCCAUUCUUUGUUUGGAGAGUGAACCAUGCAUACAUAAACCUGGGAAUAGUUUGUAAUCCAAACUAAACCCAGGCCAACCAAUACAUGUAUAAGUCCAGCGAUCCAUCCAAACCAGACCAAAUUGCAAAUGCUACAAUCCAAACCAAUCCAAACUGAAUGUAUUUUCAAGCCAAAUUCAUCCAGACCUUUCUCUACAUUUAAUUUGAACCCAAAGUUUCAAACCAUGGGUCAGUCAACAACAACUGGAAAACCCCCAAACUUAACCUGUAUGUACAGAACUACGAAAGGUGUGAGGCUCCUACCAACGGCGGCUAGCUUGGUGUCAGGAGCUUCAGUAUACGUGUGCGUGCUCCGUAAGAGCAGAGGGCGGCGCCGGCACGGUGGCCCAUGGCCGGCUGCAGGACCUAUCCGGACGUGUGCAAGACCCUUUGGCUUCCAGUUUCUCAUCGGCUUCCUGACCAUCACCUUCGUCGGCCACAUCGGCAAGGUCGAGCUCACAACCAUCUUCAUGGUGACAGCAUCGUCGAAGGCCUCGUCUUUGAGUUCCUCGUGUUCUGCAUGGAGUUGACUAUUGUCACCAGAGAUCUCGGUGGGGGCGAGGUGGUACGUGCGCUCAUGUCACUCAUCUCAGGCGGCGGCUGCACCUAAACCAAGCGUUGGUCUCACAUUACGCUGAUGGUGUGUGGUUAAACGGUCGCUAGACUGGUUUUUAUCCGUGGACUAAAACGGCCUGAGACCAAUUUAUCUCUGUCCAAACCAGACCAACCCAAUCUAUUAAUUACAAAAGUCCACACCAAACUAAAUAACGAUAGAGGCUCAAUCCAUUUCAACCGAACCAAAGCAGCCCAACAGGUAAACCAAAUUGAAACUAUGGUUCGAGACCAAACUAUUCUCAGGUUUAUGCAUGCACCAUGCACCUUGCUCUGAAGACAGAACUCUGAUGUCUAAUCUGGUCGUCGUUCCCAGACAAAAUAACGUGACAUGCAUCGUGCACACGGUUUCUCCAUGCACUGCACCCACAACUGGCAAGAGCCACACACGUAAGUACUCUAUAUACCUAUAUUUGUACGUCCUGCCAUGUGAACGUCAAGCUCACGACAAUGUACGCAUGCCACAUAUAUAACCUACGUAUACUGAACCACUGCCGGCAUUACCAACGUGACCCCCAGCUGAACUAUGCAUGCAUAUGUAGUAGCUAGCUACUAAUAAAGCGGUCAAAACCCAUUUACCCCCCUCCCCAAAUGUAAUACUCCCUCCGUUCCUUUUUACUCCACGUAUAAGAUUUUUGUCGAGUCAAACUUUUGAAACUUUGACCAAAUUUGUAUAAAAAUAUAUCAACAUCUACAAUAUCAAAUAUACAUAAUAUGAAACUACAUUUCAUAAUAAAUCUAAAAAUAUUCCUUUGGCAUUGUAAAUGUUUGAUCCUUUUUUCUAUAAGUUUGGUCAAACUAGAGAUAUUUUGACUCCAGACAAAAGUUAUAUGCAGACUAAAGAAAAGGAGGAAGUAUUUGUGUACAACGACUGGUACAGCUGGCAUUGUCUUGUGUUUAAGUGGCGUUUUCUGGAAUUCUUGGGUCAAAUUGUUAUUUACUUUUGGUUUGUUACGUACAUAGAGUACUGUUCAUCCACGUAAGAUUGAUGUUGAACGGAAGAUAGACGUGAAAAAUAGAAAAAGGGACAGGAAGGAUGGAGUCUUCACGGAAACUGGUGGCUUGGCAAUGAGUCAAAGCUCUAGAUCCAGUGUAUCCCUCCGCACUGCUUCAUUACUAGCAACCUACAGAAGAUACUGGUCAGGCCACCUAAGUGAAUAUAUACCAUUUCACAACCUAGAAAUUAGUUUUUAUUCAACAUGAAAUUGUAUUUCUAGCCAUUUAUUGACCUGAAGGUAGCUUUCGUACAUAUUUAAAAAAAACACUCAGUUAUGUCCAUGUCACCCGCAAAAAAAUUAUACUGUUGAUGCAUCUUCUCUACUCUUAUAAAAAAUUAAGUUGGUGAUAAUGGUGUACCUACCAUCUUGCAAUAUACACCGUUCGAUCUAUAUCUGGCGGAUAGAAAGUAAAUUAUGGCAAUUUUACAAAAAGAUACCCGCACCUCUCUCCACAUUUACAGAUACUUUCCUCGUUCAUCCUUAUCUCUCACAACCUCAUUAUUGAGCAAUUAAAAAAGAAAGCAUCUGAAACAAUCUGGCAUGGCGGCCGCUGCCGGCGUCGUCCAUCCCCAUGCCUCCGCUCAGUCCGACCACCAAUCACCACCACGCCCCACUCCUCGUCACCUUAUCUCUUCUGUUUCUUGAGAUAUCAUUAGUUUUACAGAUGAGAUUACUCUCACAUAGGUCAAUCACAAAUAGGUGUUUUGUAAAAAAAGCAUCUUCAUGUCCCGUUCAAUGCACGAGCAUCUUGCUAGUUUACAUUAUUUCUCUUAGCAAGCAGCCUAUAUAUAAAAGGCAACCUACGUACUAAACCACUGGUGCCAUUACCAACUUUGACCCCCAGCUGAACCAUGCAUGCAAGUGGCUAGCUACUAAGAGAGUGGUUAGCUACUAAUAGAGCAUUGUUCAGCAACGUAAGAUUGCUGUUGAACAGGAGAUAGGAAUAAAACAUACAACUCAAACCAAUCACGAUCAUCAAUCAACCCAUAGGAUAAAACGAAUCUACUCAAACAUCAUAGGAUGGUCAUACAUCAUUGGGUAAUAAUAUAUAGCAUCAAGUGAUACGUCUCGAACGUAUCUAUAAUUUUUGAUUGUUCCAUGCUAUUAUAGUAUCAAUCUUGGAUGUUUAUUAUGCAAUUGUAUGUAACUAUAUAUCAUUUUUUGGGACUAACAUAUAAACCUAGUGCCCAGUGCCAACUGCAAUUUUUUUUCUUGUUUUUAGCUUUUCAGGAAAUCAAUAUUAAAAAGAGUCCAAAUGGAGAAUUUUUUUUGGAUAAUGGACCAGAGGGGACCCUAAAAGCUUCGGGAGAAGACUUGACAAGCCACGAGGGUGCGACAAGCUUGGGAGGCGCGCCCCAGGCUUGUGGGCCCCUCGUGGCUUGUCAAGUCUUNNNNNNNNNNNNNNNNNNNNNNNNNNNNNNNNNNNNNNNNNNNNNNNNNNNNNNNNNNNNNNNNNNNNNNNNNNNNNNNNNNNNNNNNNNNNNNNNNNNNNNNNNNNNNNNNNNNNNNNNNNNNNNNNNNNNNNNNNNNNNNNNNNNNNNNNNNNNNNNNNNNNNNNNNNNNNNNNNNNNNNNNNNNNNNNNNNNNNNNNNNNNNNNNNNNNNNNNNNNNNNNNNNNNNNNNNNNNNNNNNNNNNNNNNNNNNNNNNNNNNNNNNNNNNNNNNNNNNNNNNNNNNNNNNNNNNNNNNNNNNNNNNNNNNNNNNNNNNNNNNNNNNNNNNNNNNNNNNNNNNNNNNNNNNNNNNNNNNNNNNNNNNNNNNNNNNNNNNNNNNNNNNNNNNNNNNNNNNNNNNNNNNNNNNUAGGGCCCCCUCUGGUCCAUAAUGCUCCUCUUGGCCUAAUUCUAGCACUAUAAAUUCUAAAAUAUUCCCCCUACAUCAAAGAGUCACCCGAAAUACCUUUUUCGCCGCCGCAAGUUUCGGUUCUCGCGAGAUCCCAUCUAGAGGCCUUACCCGGCACUCUGCCGGAGGGGGGAUCGAUCACGGAGGGGCUCUACAUCAACCUUGCCGCUAUUCUGAUGAUGUGUGGUAGUUAACCACAGAUCUACGGGUCCGUAGCUAGUAGCUAGAUGGCUUCUUCUCUCUCUUUGAUCUUCAAUACAAUGUUCACAUUGAUGUUCUUAGAGAUCUGUUCGAUGAAAUCACUUUUUAUGGUGUGUUUGUUGAGAUCCGAUGAAUUGUGAGUUUAUGAUCAGAUUAUCUACAAGUAUUAUUUGAGUCUUCUCUAAAGACUUUUAUGCAUGAUCAUUAUAGCUUUAUAUUUCUCUCCGAUCUAUUGAUUUGAUUUCGUCAACUAGAUUGAUUUUUCUUGCAAUGGGAGAGGUGCUUUGCAAUGGGUUCGAUCUUGCGAUGCUCAAUCCCAAUCCCCAUCCCCAAAUGUAACAUGUGUGUACAACAACUAGUACAGCUGGCAUUGUCUCGUGCGUAAGUGGCGCUUUCUGGAAUUCUUGGGUCAUAUUGUUAUUAUUUACUUUUGGUUUGUUACAUACAAGAGCAAUGUUCAGCAACGUAAGAUUGAUGUUGAACGGAAGAUAUACGGAAAAUAUUGGAAAAGGGACAGAAAGGGUGGACUCCUCGUGGAGACUCAUGACUCCACAAUGAGUCAAUGGCUCAAUGCGCUUGAUCCAGUGGAUCCCUCAUCACUGUUUCAUUACCAACCUACGGAAGGCUCUUUUUUCAGAAGAGAGGCGUCACACGUACAGAAGGGAUUGAUCAGCUCACUUAAGUGAAUAUACCAUUUUGCAACCUAAAAAACAAGUUUUUCGUCGACGCAGAUUUUUAUUUCUAGCUAUUUAUCGGUCUGCAUGUAACUUUCUUACAGAUUUAGAAAAACACUCAGUUAAGUUUAGACUGUCCAUGUCACUCACAAAAAAAUUAUACUGUCGAUGCAUCUUUUGUGGUCUUUCUUGUAGAAAGCAGCCUAUAGAUAGAAGACAUCCACGUGGGUAGUAUUUCAGCUCUCUCGGCAUUAUGAAAUGGUGGUACAAAUAUAGCAUCAAGUUACACGACAAAAAGUUCCCAUCGAUAUCUCAUAAGAGCUUUCCACCAAAAGAAAGAGAAUCUCGUAUCAAUUAGAGAUUUUCCAUAUCCGAGGAAAUAAACAUAUAGAGGAGAGUGACCUUUUACUAUGAGGAAGCAGACAGCAGUAUGUUCAUGCUAUUCGGUACUAACAUUAACGGCGAGGAAUUAAUUGUUACUUUUCCACACCCUUUCUACUUAUACGUCAUUGCAUACGUUGGAAGUCAAAAAGAACAAAAGAAUAUGUAUUACUAUACACUAAUAAAAUUGUAUACGCAUCCUAAAAUCAGAAACGUAAAAAGACAACACAUAAAAUGUAAAUAAUGACAAUUUUUUGGUAUGGUUUACAUGGUUAUGACCAAGGUUUUGGGUACUGCCAAAAAAUCCGGAUACCGGGCGGUAUCCGCGUUUCUCGCCGCUCCACAAGAAAUACCCAUCCCAAGCAAAAAAGAAAAAAAAAAUCAUUUUUUAAAAUUUAAACACUCCAAGUAUAAUAAAACACUCUACCUCGCAGUUAGAUCAACAUUCUUAGUUGUGGUAUCGUGGUAACCUACUAUUUUGUGCCUCCAGAGGUAGCUGGUUGGAGUUGCCUUCUUGCACUUUUUUUGUUUAUUUUUCAGAAUUGGUAAGUAAGAAAAGUAAAAAUAAUAAUGACCCAAGAGUCGUACUCGCAACCUCAAACCGCUUAGCACGCACUCCCUCCGUUCCAAAAUAGAUGACUCAAUUUUGUACUAACUUUACACUAGUAGAAAACAGGGCAUUUGUCCCGGUUCGUAAGGGCCUUUUGUCCCGGUUUAAGAACUGGGACAAAAAGGUCGGUACUAAUGCCCUCCCCUUUAGUCCCUGUUCUUACACGAACCGGGACAGAUGGGCCUCCACGUGGCUACUGCGGGCAGCCCAGGCAAGGGGGCCUUUGGUCCCAGUUGGUGACAUGAACCGGGACCAAAAGGCUUCCACGCGUCAGCAGCUGGCUGGAGCUGAGGUUUUUCUUUAAAAAAAAGUGGCUAGUUUAGGGGUUUGGGGGGUUAAUUUAGGUUGUUAUUAGCUAGCUAAUAGAGAGAAGUUUCUUCUCUUAUAUCUUCGUCCUUGGUUUACCAACGCUACUGCUAUAUUCAUUUCACCCGCUGAUAUAUAAUAACUCAUGCUCGCAUCAUACAUCAUCAUAUAUAAUAACAAGUCCUACUAAUCAUGCAUCAUCAUACAACUUCUACUCAUUAUUAAUAACAAGUCAUACGAUCAUCAUCCUCAUAGUCAUUGAACCCAACCCUACAUAAUUGUUCUUAGCACAUGAUCAUCAGUAUCAGGUAGGACCUAAACACCCUUAAGGUAAAAUAGCAUAAAACAAUAUAGACCCUGACUCUCCAUAAUGAAGAAUGGAGAUCAUCAUGUCUUCAAUUCUUACGCUUCACUUCCUUUUGCUUCUAAGAAGCUCCUUACGAUUGUCCAUACAUUUUUUCCACUCUUUGAUUGUCAUGUCUCCACUUCUUUUAGAAAUCCGGUAUGGACAGUUGAGAUUCGUAGGACGACCUGGUUGUAUGUUCAAAACAUCAAGGCGACCGUGCGUAUACAUCAGAUGAGACACACAAUCAUUCGGGAUUAUCUGUUGAAAAACAUAGUAAUAACUUCGUAGUUAGCAAUGAUGUACUAGUUUUAGAAGUAUGCAAAAUGAUGCACGGAUGUCGUAAUAGUAAAAAAUCUUACCAGGGUAUCUCCAUGGUAGUUACCGUAGUUCAACACGUGCACUAGUGGCACGUAUUGACCAUAAUGUUGAGGAGUUCGAUUGUGGAUAUUGUAAUUCUCAAGAUUCGUACAAAUGCGAUCAGAUGAUUUUUCUCCUUAUAAGUUAAUUCGGAGACAUCGGUGUAGUGGGUUUUGUCUACCAUCUUCCGCACAUUCUUUGAAGAAUGAAAAUAAGCUGUCAAUGGAAAUAAGCUGUCAACUAUUUUGAAAUAAACAAUAUAAAUUACUUAAUAACUAUGUUUGAGAAGCUCACAUGGUGAAGAAUUGGAAGUGUAUCCACAAGGACCCAAAUGUCCAUAUUGUCUUGCUCGAUGUAGGAUCACCAAGAUCCAUGGUGACAAGCAUACCCUCAUCAAAACCAUACAUCUUGCAAAGUGUUUCCCAAUUUUUGCAACCAAAAUGGGUUACACUCUCAGCAUUGUACAACUUUACUUCAAAAUCCACACCAUGAUGGGUCCUUAGGUGAAUUUUUUUGGUUUCCAUACUUUCAUGGUCGUCAAAACCCAUCCUAUCCAAGACAUAGCGUCUUGCAUAGCAUGGGAUAAGCUAGUCGAAUUGGAAAAGAUGAAAAAUACAUGUUAAAAUAGUUGAAGUCGUGCUUAAUUACGAAAAAACUAUUGUCGUUGUUGCGUAUCGUAUGAACAUCGAAGGCCUCCUCGAGCCUAAUGCUGAAGCGCCGAUCUUCGUCCAGCUCAAGGAACCUGUCGCACAUACCUCGGUCGUCGUGGCACCAGUCGCACUCCCCCGGGCGGUUUUCGUCGUCUGAGUACGACAUUUCCGGCCUAUGUUCAUAAUUCAAAUAUUCAACUUGUACAAUUAAAUAUAUGUAUUAAAAAACCUAAAUUAGAUCAUUAUUAUUAAUCACGGGUUGACUAUCAGUGAUGGUAGCUCCUCCUUUCAUUCCCGAGUGCAUUAUUACACCAAGUUGUCUAGCACACGGGAAUGAAGGAGAAGCUACCCCCACGACGGCGUGGAUGAUGGAGGGGGCUCCUAAAUUUCUGCAUAGAGUGCUCCUCAAUUUUAGCAUUCAAAGUAGGAGUACUUUUCCAAUAUGAGCAUUCAAUAAGCAAAAUCAAAUCGUAAAAUAAAGUAGUAUUCAAAUUAGCAUGCAUUCAAUUAUAACCAAAAGUACAUCAUCUCUUGUGUCCGUACAUCGUCGAAUAUUAUCACUAAUACUCCUCGAAUACUAUCAUACAUAUAGCAUCGCUAAUACAACUAGAACCGUAGCGCCCGACGGGUAUCGUCGCGGGCGGUGGACACCCAAAGAUAAGGAACCAUCAUAGGAUCAUAGCUCCAGUGAGAUCCCUGAAGAACCUGCCAGGUAUUGUCGAACCUGCCCUCCAACGCAACCAUGUAGCGACGGACGUGCUCGUCCUCCUCGCUGACAUGGUGACGUACCACCUCCGCGGUGUCCGGAAGCCUCGGCACCGUCACUGGCCCACGCGACCGCCACCAAACAAGGAUCGGGUCAACAACGGGCUGGCUCCUCACCAACCUACGUCCCCCGGAAGGUAGCACCUCCGAAUACCAGCCCGGCGGAGCCCAGUCCCGGACAUGGCCCUGAUCAAGCAGGCCUCCACCGCCGAGUCGACGACGAGGAUGCGGGAUAGGCAUUGUCGACGUCGAUGCGAGAACUACUUCUAUAUAUAGUAAAACAAAGUAGUUUUAUUAAUUAAAUCAACUAGUUCAACUACUAAGCACUUACUAUAAAUAAUAAAAGUAGUACUUACUAAAAAUAAACUACUUCUAUAUAUAGUAAAAUAAAGUAGUUUAUUAAAUCAACUAGCUAGUUCAACUAUAUAUUAAGCACUUACUAUAAAUAAAAUAAAGUAGUACUUACUAAAAAUAAACUAGUUUAACUAUAGUUCUAUUAUUUUUCUAACUAAUUAUAUUAAACACUUUCUCUUCUUAUUUUCCUUUUUCAUCUAUUCUAUAUAUGAAGAUAUUCAUAAAUGACUUUGAUCAUGCACAAUUUUCCUAUACAUACACAAUAUGAACAUAUACAUAAAUUGACAAAGAAAAUUCUAUGAACAAAAUAAUCAUUGAAAAUCAAUGAACAAAAUUACAACAGAAAAAAAUCAUAAAAAUUCUAUGAACAGAAAAAAAUCAUAAAAAAUUGACAUAUUCAAUCUUUGCAUAUAUAUGAACAUACAAACAUGCAUAUUCAACAAUAAUAUCACCCAAAAAAUCUAUUAACAGAAAAAAAAUCUAACACAAUAUGAACAAAUUACUUAAUAUGAAUAACAAUCUAACAGAAAAAUCUAUGAACUACACAUCUAAAUUACUACACAUCUAACAAAAAACUUAUGAACUACAAAAAAUCUAACAAAAUCUAACUCAAUUAACUACACAUCUAAAUUAUACUACACAUCUAAAUUAACUACUACAUCAAAUUAAAUUAGCAAAAAGUUUGCUCACGGGAUGGCGACGGCCGGCGUGAGGGGCGCGGCAAAGGCGACGGGCAGGGGACGGCGACGGCGACGGCGACAGUGCGUGAGGCGCAGCGCGGCGACGGUUGACGGUGAGGGGCGGCGGCGGCGGGGCGGUGACGGGUAGGGNNNNNNNNNNNNNNNNNNNNNNNNNNNNNNNNNNNNNNNNNNNNNNNNNNNNNNNNNNNNNNNNNNNNNNNNNNNNNNNNNNNNNNNNNNNNNNNNNNNNNNNNNNNNNNNNNNNNNNNNNNNNNNNNNNNNNNNNNNNNNNNNNNNNNNNNNNNNNNNNNNNNNNNNNNNNNNNNNNNNNNGGCGGCGCGGGACGGCGCGGUACGGCGCGGGGCGACGACGGCGACGGCGAGGCGGAGACGGGUAGCCUGGCGGCGUCGGGGCGGGGAAGAACGAAACUGAACGAAAUUUUGAUGAGUGCCAGUUAUAUAGACGACGCAUUGGUCCCGGUUCGUGAGACAAACCGGGACUAAUGCGACCUUUAGUCCCGGUUGGUGCCACCAACCGGGACCGAAGGCCUCUUUUCAGCAGCCCAAAGGGCGGGAAGCAGAUGCCUUUGGUCCCGGUUGGUGGCACCAACUGGGACUAAAGGUGGGGCAUUCACACCGGUUUGUGGCACCAACCGGGACCAAUGCAACCCUUUAGUCCAGGUUUGUGCCACCAACCGGGACUAAAGGCCUUGUGUUGCCCGCGUCGCGGCACGAAAGUUUAGUCCCACCUUGCUAGCUGAGGGAGCUCGAGAGUGUUUUAUAAGCCCCAGUCCCACUGCCCUCUCGAGCUCCUCUCAAAUGCAGGCUUAUGGGCCUAAACGCACUAUAUGUGCCUGUCGGCCUAUUGGGCCUACUGCGGGCCUGAAUCUCGGCCCAUUGUUGGGUUUCUAGUCGUAUUCACGCCGUGGAGGCCCUUUAGGUGGCACUUUUUUUUGUUUUAUUUUUUCCUUUGAAUUAUUUAUUUUCUUUUGAUUUUUGCUUUAUUAUAUAUUCUUUUUUCUUUUAGCUCAGAAUAAUUAUAAUCUUUCUGUUACUCCAUUAGUUUCCAAAUUUGAAUAAUUAUAAUCUUUAUGCAACUAAAAAUAUAUUUGGAGUGAUUCUUUUUCCUGCUAUUUAAUAUUACUGCGUUUAUGACAAUUCUUUUGCUAUUUUGAAAAACAGAUUUUGUUAUUUUAGUUUCUAUCAAAAAAAUCUUUAUGACAAUUCUUUUUGCUACUAAAGUUUCUAACAAAAAAUUCUUUAUGAUAAUUAUUUCUGCUUUUCAUGUUUUGAACAGAAUAUACUUUGAUAAUUUUAGUUGCAUAAAUUUUAUAUAAUUUUAGAUUAAAAAAUACUGGAGGUUUAUAAAAGCUUUUUAGUUGAUUCCUUUUGCUAUUAGAGUUUUAUAAAAGCAUUUACUGGUUUUUUUUGAGCUAAGCAUUUCAAAUGAACUCUGAAAAGAUUGAAAGUUGGCAUGGUAUCAUCAUUUCACCCACAUAGCAUGUGCUAAAAAGUUGAGAGGGUUAUGGGGAAAAUUGGAUACACUUCGUGUACAAAAUGGACAAUCUCUUUCGAAGUAUCAGGGUUUCAUACGGAAACUCAUCUGUUACACAGAGAUUUCAUUUUCUUAAACUUAUUUGAACUCCUGACUUUUUGUGUGUUCAAAAUGCACCAUUCAAAGCCACAUCAUCAAUUUUCAACCCUUUGUGACUUCAUUUGUUAUUUUUCAUGCAUUUACUGAUUAUUUUGAGCUAUAAGACCCUGAAAUUUAAAAGCAUUUCAAAUGAACUCUGAAAAGGUUGGAAGUUGGCAUGGUAUCAUUAUUUCAUCCACAUAGCAUGUGCAAGAAAGUUGAGAGGGUUACGGCAAAAACUGGAUGCACUUCAUGCACAAAACGGACAAUCUCUUUCGAAGUAUCAGGAUUUCAUACGGAAACUUGUCUGUUACAACAGGCAUUUCAAAUGAAUUACGAAAAGGUUGAAAGUUGGCAUGGUAUCAUCGAGAAAGUCUUCACUUUUUCUUCGCUUGUGUGCUUACCUUAUUGCGCCGUAACCAUGGAUAAUCUUCAUCAUUUAUUAGGAUGCUUGGGUCAGCCUUGACUUUGAAGGGAGGAAUUUCAUGAAACUUAUCAUAAUCUUCGGACAUGUCUGUCUUGCCCUCCACUCCCACAAUGUCCCUUUUUCCUGAAAGAACUAUGUGGCGCUUUGGCUCAUCGUAUGAUGUAUUCGCUUCCUUAUAUUUUCUUUUUCUCCGUUUGGUAGACAUGUCCUUCACAUAGAUAACCUGUGCCACAUCAUUGGCUAGGACGAAAGGUUCGUCAGUGUACCCAAGAUUGUUCAGAUCCACUAUUGUCAUUCCGUACUAUGGGUCUACCUGUACCCCGCCUCCUGACAGAUUGACCCAGUUGCAUUUAAACAAAGUGACCUUAAAAUCCACUAUGUAACCAUAAUAUGUGUCCUUUCCCCUCUCGGUGGCUGCAUCAAAGCGGACACCGCUGUUUUGGUUGGUGCUCUUUUGAUCUUGGGCGAUCUUGUAAAAUGUAUUCCCAUUUAUCUCGUAUCCUUUCCAAAUCAUUACAGUCGAAGAUGGUCCCCUGGACAACGAGUACAACUCCUCACAAACAGUGUUUUCACCUUUGAGACGUGUUUCCAACCAACUGCUGAAAGUCCUGAUGUGUUCACAUGUAAUCCAGUCGUCGCACUGCUCUGGGUGUUUGGAGCGCAGACUGUUCUUUUGUUCAUCGACAUAAGGGGUCACCAAGGUAGAGUUCUGUAGAACUGUGUAGUGUGCUUGAGACCAAGAAUAUCCGUCCCUGCAUAUUAUUGUCUCGCCUCCAAGCAUGCCUUUUCCAGUCAGUCUCCCCUCAUACCGCGAUUUACGGAGACCUAUCUUCUUAAGGCCAGGACUGAAGUCAACACAAAACCCAAUGACAUCCUCUGUUUGAUGGCCCAUGGAGAUGCUUCCUUCUGGCCUAGCACGGUUACGGACAUAUUUCUUUAGGACUCCCAUGAACCUCUCAAAGGGGUACAUAUUGUGUAGAAAUACGGGGCCCAGAAUGACAAUCUUGUCAACUAGAUGAACUAGGACGUGCGUCAUGAUAUUGAAGAAGGAUGGUGGGAACACCAGCUUGAAACUGACAAGACAUUGCACCACAUCACUCCUUAGCCUUGGUAUGAUUUCUAGAUCGAUCACCUUCUGAGAGAUUGCAUUGAGGAAUACGCAUAGCUUCACAAUGGCUAAUCGGACGUUUUCCGAUAGAAGCCCCCUCAAUGCAACCGGAAGCAGUUGCGUCAUAAUCAUGUGGCAGUCAUGAGACUUUAAGUUCUGAAACUAUUUCUCUGCCAUAUUUAUUAUUCCCUUUAUAUUUGACGAGAAGCCAGUCGGGACCUUCACACUAAGCAGGCAUUCAAAGAAGAUUUCCUUCUCUUCUUUGGUAAGAGCAUAGCUGGCAGGACCUUCAUACUGCUUUGGAGGCAUGCCGUCUUUUUUGUGCAAACGUUGCAGGUCCUCCUGUGCCCCAACUGUAUCUUUUGUCUUCCCAUACACGCCCAAGAAGCCUAGCAGGUUCACGCAGAGGUUCUUCGUCACAUGCAUCACGUCGAUCAAAGAGCGGACCUGUAGGUCUUUCCAGUAGGGUAGGUCCCAAAAUAUAGAUUUCUUCUUCCACAUGGGUGCGUGUCCCUCAGCGUCACUCGGAACAGCUAGUCCGUUGGGACCCUUUCCAAAGAUUAUGUGUAAAUCAUUUACCAUAGCAAGUACGUAAUCAUCGGUACGCAUGGUGGGCUUCUUCUGGUGAUCUGCCUCACCUUUCAAAUGCUUGCCUUUCUUUCGACAUUGAUGGUUGGACGGAAGAAAUCGACGAUGGCCCAGGUACACAUUCUUCCUGCAGCUUCCCAGGUAUAUACUUUCGAUGUCAGCUAAACAGUGCGUGAAUGCGUGGUAUCCCUUGUUUGUCUGUCCUGAAAGGUUACUGAGAGCGGGCCAAUCGUUGAUGGUUACAAACAGCAACGCAUGCAGGUUAAAUUCCUCCUGUCUGUGCUCAUCCCACACACGUACACCGUUUCCAUUCCACAGCUGUAAAAGUUCUUCAACUAAUGGCCUUAGGUACACAUCAAUGUCGUUGCCGGGUUGCUUAGGGCCUUGGAUGAGAACUGGCAUCAUAAUGAACUUCCGCUUCAUGCACAUCCAAGGAGGAAGGUUAUACAUACAUAGAGUCACGGGCCAGGUGCUGUGAUUGCUGCUCUGCUCCCCGAAAGGAUUAAUGUCAUCCGCGCUUAAACCAAACCACACGUUCCUUGGGUCAUGUGCAAACUCAGCCCAGUACUCUCUCUUGUUUUUUCUCCACUGCGACCCGUAAGCGGGUGCUCUCAACUUCCCGUCUUUCUUACGGUCCUCACUGUGCCAUCGCAUCAACUUGGCAUGCUCUUUGUUUCUGAACAGUCAUUUCAACGGUGGUAUUAUAGGAGCAUACCAUCACCUUCGCAGGAACUCUCUUCUUGCGGGGCUCACCGUCAACAUCACCAGGGUCAUCUCGUCUGAUCUUAUACCGCAAUGCACCGCAUACCGGGCAUGCGUUCAAAUCCUCGUACGCACCGCGGUAGAGGAUGCAGUCAUUAGGGCAUGCAUGUAUCUUCUGCACCUCCAAUCCUAGAGGGCAUACGACCUUCUUUGCUGCAUACGUACUGUCGGGCAAUUCAUUAUUCUUUGGAAGCUUCUUCUUUAAUAUUUUUCAGUAGCUUCUCAAAUCCUUUGUCUGGCACAACAUUCUCUGCCUUCCACUGCAGCAAUUCCAGUACGAUACCCAGCUUUGUGUUGCCAUCUUCGCAAUUGGGUACAAGCCUUUUUUGUGAUCCUCUAACAUGCGAUCGAACUUCAGCUUCUCCUUUUGACUUUCGCAUUGCGUCCUUGCAUCGACAAUGACCCGACGGAGAUCAUCAUCGGACACAUCGUCUGGUUCCUCUUGAUCUUCAGCAGCUUCCCCCGUUGCAGCAUCAUCGGGCACAUCGUCUGGUUCCUCUUGAUCUUCNNNNNNNNNNNNNNNNNNNNNNNNNNNNNNNNNNNNNNNNNNNNNNNNNNNNNNNNNNNNNNNNNNNNNNNNNNNNNNNNNNNNNNNNNNNNNNNNNNNNNNNNNNNNNNNNNNNNNNNNNNNNNNNNNNNNNNNNNNNNNNNNNNNNNNNNNNNNNNNNNNNNNNNNNNNNNGGGGGCACAUAGUUGUCAUCGUCCUCUUCUUCUUCGCCAUCUUCCAUCAUAACCCCUAUUUCUCCGUGCCUCGUCCAAACAUUAUAUUGUGGCAUGAAACCCUUGUAAAGCAGGUGGGUGUGAAGGAUUUUCCGGUCAGAGUAAGACUUCGUAUUCCCACAUUUAUUGCAUGGACAACACAUAAAACCAUUCUGCUUGUUUGCCUCAUGUCGGAGUAAUGGGCCAUGGGUAGGCUCACCCGAGUCCCUGGAUUCAUCAAAACUUUGGGCCAGCUCCGCCUAGCUGGGCCCCAAGAUGAAGCUCCGCCCUCUGGGGCCGGCUGGCUCAGCGGCCGGUUGCGAGAGGGCAGCUGUCCCAAGACUGCAGCACUCCGGGUGGCCGGCUCCUGGCGGCCGCCCUCCAAAGUGGGCGGCAACGGGAAAGCGGCCACCACACGACUACGGGGCGGCCGAGCUCCCAUCAAGAGUACAAGACGAAGCAUGGCUACAGUGAGGAACGACGCCUCCCACGCUCGAGACGGGCGUGGCUACAGUGCUCCGUACAGACGGAGAUCUCCGCACGACGGAGCACUAUGCUGUAUCUACCCUGACGUAGCUCCGGGCAGGCGAAGCCCUGUUCACCACGACGGCCUGUCGGUACGGCAGGCCAGAGGUGGGCCCUAUCGGCAGUGACCCCAAGGAAGACGGCGGAAGCUCAACCAGGCGGAUUAGAGAGGGGCCGGCCUCCAGCAGGCGACCGUCCCUUGUCCCGAGACGAGCACGCCAUUAAGUUGAUAAGACCAUGUGUGGCUACAGUGUCCUCCCACCAGGCGGCGGGACUAUAGCCACGCUAGGAUGACCAAGGCCCCGUCGCCAACGACACGGCUACAGUGAGCAGCCGCCAACCAGUCGGCGGGGCCCACUAGGCGGCGGGCCCCAGCGGUCGGCGGAGAAGCCGAAGGCUGGAGACAUUGACAGCCGGGCCCAGCGGCCGGCCAGAUUACCAUUUUACCCCUGGGGGUAGGCCUAUAUAAACCCCCAGGCCACCCAUGCAAAGGGUUCCCACACCAUUAGAACUAGCCACCCCCUAGAGCAGGAAGAGAGCUAGCCUUGCCUCCUUCUGCCUCUAGCAUACAGCUCGAGGAUCACCAUUGUAUCACUUGUGUCUUAGUGAUCAUGCGGAGACCCCGUAGAGCAGGACUAGGGGUGUUAUCUCCUAGGAGAGCCCCAAACCUGGGUAAAGUACGCCGACGUUCGUGUCUACGCCUUAUCCCGCUUCCAGUCACCGGCGACGUUCUACUCGCUCCCACCAUGAUAAGCCAUCCAUUGGCAUAUGUCACACCCAACUCCCGACAUUUGGUGCCCACCGUGGGGCAAGGUGCACCGUCUCCCGGAGAUCUGCUCUGGACGGGAACCCUGUUCCUUCCUGGCGAGUGAAGCCAGCCCAGCAUGCCCGACGGCGUCAGCCUCGACGCGCUGCAUGGCACGGAGAUCGCCUGCGCAGCGAGUUGCCUCGCUGACCUCGUCGGCGAGAUCGACCUCUCCGACGAGCCAGCCUCUGACGCGGGCACAAGCUGCCCUGAGAGCCGCCUCGUCAGCCUCCUUGAUCAGCUCCAUGUCACCAGCGAGACUGCUGUGGACCUGGAGUCCGUUGGCUCGACCGAUUCGAUGAUCAUCGACUCCGACACGGCGUCGCUCGACGCGUUUCCCACCAACGUGGUGGUCUACGAUGAGCCGCCGCCUUGCGAGCACAGCGGCGGGAGCACUGUCACGGAGGUACUCGUCAUCAACAGUGAGGAGCACUCGGACGGGCCUGCUCAAGAUACCCUCGAGGCCACCAUGCGCGACCUCACGGCGCCCAUUCCCGAGGGCGCGGAUGCUGAGGUGCUGGAGGCACGCCGCCUCCAGCUUAUCGAGAGUGCUGGCCGCCUGGCCAGCAUGCGCCGACUGUCGGAUGCCUAUCGGCGCGAGAUGGACCGGGCCGUAGGCGGCACGCCGGCUCCUGAGGGGCCUAGCCACCUCGGCACAGUUCGGCAGCGUGGCGCGACCAUUGCCAGCAUGUUCGGGGCUGAGCACCCCGUCUACGCCACGCCUGCAGAGAACAUCCGAGCCGCCUAGGCGGUAACGGAUGAGCUGAACAAGUACAACGGCGACGAGCUCCGCCACAUGAUGGAGCGAGUCCAGCAGCUCCUGGACGCGGCCGCCGCGCAGCACGAGGCCGCCUACCGCGCUGAAGUCCUAGCCGGACGAAACAACCAACCUCCCCCAUGCCGAGAUCAUGGGGCGACCUCCCGGACGCCGACUGGUGGCGCCCGCGGAGGAAUGGGCAACGAGUCGGCUGCUAGCCGCAGUCGGACGCGCCUCUCCAUCAAGCGGGACGAGGACGGCCGCCCUCGUGCAGUAGAGCGGCAAGGCAACCUGCCACCUCCCCCGCCUCGUGGAGCGAGGUACCCCACUCCGCCUCCUGUCACGCAUCCGACACUCGGCGACCACCUUGGCCGCCGAGAGGGAGUCGGAGAGAAUGAUGCUCGCCAUCAAAUCAAUCGUCUCAACCGAUCCCUGGCGCUUGAAGAAGAAGAUGCGUUGGGCCCGCCCUGCUUCAGCCCCCGAAUCCGUGAUGAGCCCUUCCCCAAAGGGUUCACCCUCCCACGAGACACGCCCAAAUACACCGGCUCCAUGAAGCCGGAGGACUGGCUAGUCGACUACUCCACAGCCGUCAGCAUAGCGAACGGCAACAAGCGCGUUGCCGUGAAGUACGUCCCGCUCAUGCUUCAAGGCACUGCUCGGACGUGGCUCAACAGCCUGAAGCACCGCAGCAUCAACAGCUGGGUUGAUUUCACUGAGGUCUUCAUCCGCAACUUCACCAGCACCUACAAGCGGGCUCCCAAGCCCCGACAGCUCUCCUUGUGCGUCCAAGGGCCCUUGGAGUCAACUCGCGACUACCUCACGCGCUGGACCGAGUUGCGCAAUUCCUGCGAGGGUGUGCACGAGGUGCAGGCGAUCGAGUACUUCACCGCCGGGUGCCGAGAGGGCACCCUCCUCAAGCACCGCCUCCUCUGCGACGAGCCCGAGACCCUCGAUGAGCUACUGGUCAUCGCCGACAAGCACGCCACGGCCGACUCCUCCAUGAAGGCGGAAAUCCUGGUAGACGCGUCCGGCAAGGUGGCGCCUCAGGCACCUCGGACUCCGGCUGGUGACACCAGUCGGCGACAGCAACCAGGUGAUAACAAGCGGAAGGCCACCCAGCCGGCUUCCACCAGCCGGCAGGUGGCAACGGUCGAGGAUCAGCAGCCAGAAGGGCAACCAGCCCCCAAGCGGCAGAAGGGCGGCAAGUCCAAUUGGUUGCCUGCUUUCUCUUACCAGCAAACCUUAGAUGCACCCUGCAAAUUCCAUAGCGGCGCAAAUCCCUCCAACCACACCACUCGGAAGUGUCACUGGCUCACCAGAAUCACCAAAGGAGAUGGACUCCUGCCUCCUUCGCCUGCCGGACUGCCGCCUCCUCAGCCCCAGCAGCCGGCGGCCCGGCCAGUCGGCGCCCUACAAGACGAGUACCCGGAGGAACACGGAGCCUAUGUUGUGUUUACCAGCAUGGCCGACGGCAGACGCAGCAGGCGGCAACAACAACAAGAAGUGCAAGCAGUGGCCUCCAACACUCCAGAGUUCAUGCAUUGGUCCAAGAAGCCUAUUAGUUGGAGCAAGGCCGACCACCCAAAAGUGAUGCCUUCCCCUGGUUCAUACGCCCUGGUCCUAGAAGCAAGCUUUGCAACGGAGAGGCGAGCAGCCCGCUUCUCCAGAGUCUUGAUAGAUGGCGGCAGCAGCAUCAAUAUCCUGUACCGUGACACAAUGGAGAAGUUGGGAAUCAAGCAGAAGCAGCUCGUCCCCAGUUGGACUGUAUUCCAUGGCAUAGUCCCUGGCCUUUCCUGCUCACCAAUCGGCAAGACCCAGAUUGAUGUCCUCUUCGGAGACAAGAAUUACUUCCGCCGAGAGCCAGUUUGGUUUGAAGUGGUGGACCUUCAGAGCCCCUACCAUGCACUGCUUGGCCGGCUUGCUCUCGCCAAGUUCAUGGCGGUCCCCCACUAUGCCUACCUCAAGAUGAAGAUGCCAAGUACCAAGGGGAUCCUGACAGUGGUCGAAGACUACAAGAAGUCGAUCACUUGCACCGCAGAUAGCAGCCGGCUGGCCGAGUCCCUUGUGAUUGCCGCUGAGAAGCGGCUCCUUGACCGGGUAGUGGCGUUGGCAGGCAAGAAGCCGGAAAUGUCACCCACCCCCCAAGAUUCGGAGGUUCAGGGCUCGUUCAAGCCAGCCAAGGAAACAAAGAGAAUACCCUUGGACCCGAAGCAUCCGGAGAGGCACGCUGUCAUAGGCACAGGCCUUGACAGCAAAUAGGAAAGCGAGCUCGUCGAUUUCCUCCGUGAGAAUCGGGACAUCUUCUCAUGGUCUCCUAAGGACAUGCCGGGUGUUCCGACGGAUUUCGCCGAGCACAAGCUACAUGUCCGACCUGACGCCAAGCCGGUCAGGCAGCCCUGGCGCCACCUGUCAGAAGAGAAGAGAAGAGUUGUCAGAGAAGAGAUAGCCCGGCUCCUAGCAGCCAGAUUCAUCAUGGAAGUAUUCUUUCCAGAAUGGCUGGCCGACCCAGUCCUAGUGUUGAAGAAAAACAAGCAGUGGCGCAUGUGCAUUGACUACACCAGCCUCAACAAAGCCUGCCCCAAAGAAUCCUUUGCUAAGGAUUGAUCAGGUGAUCGACUCCACAACCAGAUGCGAGCUGUUGAGUUUCUUGGAUGCAUACUCAGGUUAUCACCAAAUAAAGCUGAACCCGGCCGACAGGCUGAAGACUGCCUUCAUCACGCCAUUUGGAGUCUUCUGCUACCUGACCAUGAUGUUCGGCUUGAGAAAUGCCAGCGCCACGUUUCAGCGUUGCAUGCAGAAGUGCCUCCUCAAGCAACUCGGCAGAAAUUCAUAUGUAUAUGUGGAUGAUGUGGUGGUGAAGACGGAGAAGCAUGGCACGCUGCUGGAGGACCUCAAGGAGACCUUUGAGAAUUUGCGCCGAUUCCAGAUCAAGCUCAACCCGGAGAAAUGUGUCUUUGGAGUACCAGCCGGCCAGCUUCUUGGUUUCCUGGUCUCAGAGCGCGGCAUAGAGUGCAAUCCUAUCAAGAUCGAGGCAAUUGAGAUGAUGAAAGUGCUCACUCGACUGCUAGACGUGCAGAAAUUCACCGGAUGCCUGGCGUCAGUCAGCCGUUUCAUCAGUCGGCUGGGCGAGAAGGCUCUUCCCCUGUACCAACUCAUGAAGAAGACCACUUUUUUUGAGUGGAACGACAAGGCGGACGAGGCAUUCCUCCAACUCAAGAAGACAUUGGCAACCCUGCCUCUCCUGGCGGUUUCGACUGAGAAGGAGCCCAUGCUCCUCUACAUUGCGGCCACCAGUCGGGUUGUCAGCAUAGUCAUGGUCGUAGAGCGCAAGGAGAAGGACAAAGCAUUGCCGGUCCAGAGACCGUUGUAUUACUUGAGUGAAGUAUUGUCCGCCUCCAAGCAAAACUACCCUCACUACCAGAAGAUGUGUUACGGCAUGCAUUUUGCCGCCAAGAAGCUGAAGCAUUACUUUCAAGAGCACCCAAUAACUGUCGUCUGCACCCUCCCGCUUGCUGAGAUCAUCGGAAGCCAGGAUUCUUCUGGCCGAGUGGCCAAGUGGGCUAUUGAUCUGGACCCUUAUACCAUCUACUACCAGCCUCGCACCACCAUCAAAUCACAAGUGUUGGCCGACUUCCUCGUCGAUUGGGCCGAGACGCAAUAUUUGCCACCUGCACCAGACUCCACUCAUUGGCGGAUGCAUUUUGAUGGUUCAAAAAUGCGCACUGGUCUGGGAGCCGGCGUCGUCCUCACCUCUCCCAAGGGUGACAAGCUCAAAUACGUGUUGCAAAUCAACUUCGCCGCCUCCAACAACGUAGCAGAAUAUGAGGCACUCAUACACGGGCUCCGGCUUGCCAAGGAACUCGGCAUUCGCCGGAUCCUGUGCUAUGGUGACUCCGACUUGGUGGUCCAGCAGUCGUCAGGCAACUGGGACGCCAAGGAUGCAAACAUGGCAAGCUACCGCUUCCUCGUGCAGCAACUCAGCGGAUACUUUGAUGGGUGCGAGUUCCUUCACGUGCCAAGGAAUGACAACGAGCAAGCAGAUGCCUUGGCACGGAUUGGCUCCACUCGACAAGCAAUACCAGCCGGCAUUGCCCUACGCCGCCUUCUGAAGCCGUCUGUCAAGCCGUCUCUUGAUUCAGACUCCAUCUUUGUGCCGCCCCCCUCCCCCCCCUCCCGAAGCAGUCGAAUCCGACUUGGUGACCCCAGAGGCCAGUCGGGGGUUUCGACAGGCGGCCCGGUGACUGCUACAGCCGCGCUUGGACCUGGGACUUCGGAACCCGGCCCGGGGACUUCACCAGUCGGCCCGGGGACUUCUUCAGCACAGCAGGCGGAAGCAGCUGCCAACCCGCCGCCUCCCAGCCCAACCGCCCUCGUACAAGUUGAAGUGGUAGCAGUCGAAGAAAUUGCAGCGCCCUCAUGGGCUCAGCCGAUCCUCAAGUUCUUGGUAAAUAAAGAGCUGCCAACCGAUGAAAUCUUAGCCUGACAAGUGCAGAGGCGAGCUGCAGCUUACACCAUAGUCAACAAAGAGCUGGUGCGACGAAGCGUCACAGGAGUUUAUCAGCGGUGUGUGGAGUCGGACCAAGGCCAAGCAAUACUUAGAGAUAUCCACCAGGGCGAGUGCGGCCACCACGCGGCUUCAAGAUCACUUGUGGCCAAGGCUUUCCGCCACGGUUUCUUCUGGCCAACUGCCCUGGAAGAGGCCAAAGAGCUAGUUCAGAAGUGUCAAGGGUGCCAGAGGUUCCGCUCCAAGCGACACCUGCCGGCUUCUGCACUCAAGACCAUCCCCAUAGCUUGGCCCUUUGCUGUUUGGGGUCUGGAUAUGGUAGGGCCGUUCAAGACGGCCUGCGGUGCCAUGACUCACUUGCUGGUUGCUGUGGACAAGUUUACCAAAUGGAUAGAGGCAAAACGAAUCAAGAAGUUGAACGGGACGACUGCCGUGACCUUCAUCACCGACAUCACCACGCGAUACGGCAUCCCACACAGCAUCAUCACCGACAACAGCACCAACUUCACCAAGGGAGCCUUGGCUCGUUUCUGUGCAACACAGGGCAUCCGCCUGGACUUAGCGUCCGUUGCCUACCCACAGUCAAAUGGCCAGGUGGAGCGUGCAAACGGCCUCAUUUUGUCCGGCCUCAAGCCUCGACUGGUCGAGCCUCUGGAGCGUUCGGCCGGCUGCUGGCUCGACGAGCUGCCGGCCGUCCUUUGGAGCCUGCGCACAACUCCAAAAAAGUAAACGGGCUUCACGCCUUUCUUCCUCGUCUAUGGUGCCGAAGCUGUCAUCCCGACGGAUAUUGAAUUCGACUCCCCAAGAGUCACCAUGUACAUUGAGGCAGAGGCCAAGGAAGCACGAGAAGACGGCGUCAACUUGCUGGAGGAAGGCCGGCUGUUGGCACUCAGCUGGUCGGCCAUCUACCAGCAGAGUCUGCGCCGAUACUACAACCGCAAGGUGAAGCCAAGAUCCUUCCUGGAGGGAAACCUUGUGCUCCGGCUGAUCCAGCAAACAGCCGGACAGCACAAGCUCUCGCCACCUUGGGAACGCCCUUUCAUCAUCAGUAAGGUACUGGGCAACGAUGCCUACUAUCUGAUCGAUUCCCAGAAGCCCAGAGCGCGUAAAAGGGAUGAUUCAGGCAAAGAAACGGAGAGGCCAUGGAACGCAAACCUCCUAUGAAGGUUUUACAUUUGAAAGCAGUAUGUAUCACGCUACCUUUUGUACUAUGUAUAAAUACUCCGGGUCCACCGAGAAGAGCUCGGGGACUGCCCUCUUUUUAUCUACAUGAUAAGUGUCAUGCCUAUGAGAAUGUAUACUCUAUUUUUUACCGCCUGGCACCGGGUUCGAACAGUCGGCCCGGAGCCUCGCCGCCUUCUACACUAUGCCGCCUCCUGUAGCCGGACAAGUAGUGUGUCGGUGCAAAAAACUUCCUUUGUCAGAAGCCACAGCUCGCAGAGCGACUGCAUGGCGGGCAAAGGUUGCAAAGAAGUGCCCCACACGAAAAAACGACUAAGGAGGAAAGCGCAUAUAGUAGAAGGCGGCAUUGCCCCUAGUCGUCUGGCUACUUGGCAGCCAGACGGCCGGCCUCCAUCUUACUACCCAAAGCUCCGAAUGGCUAUGUCCUAGCCCCCCUCACGAGCGGCUAGAAUGCUCAAACCAGCCACGGUCCGCAGAGCGGCCGCCUUGGCUGGUGAAAGCAAAGCCAAAGGGUCGGCGGCAAAGGAAAAAACCAAGGAGAAAAAGGAAAAAAGAUUGGAGGUCGGCACAACAAGCAUAAGCAAUGAUAAAAUAUUUACAUGGACAAAAGGCCUCUGGCUAGCAUUCAAACAAAGUUUGAUAUACACCCCGAGGGUGGAAUUGCGCGAAUUUAACAAAAUGUUUAGAGCAGCAAACAGAAAGCAGAUAAAACCCUAAGGAGCAGCAGAAGGCUCCGGCUGGGCGGUGCCGGUUGGUGCAACAGAAGGCUUUGGCUGGGCAGUGCCACCUGGCGCGGCAGAAGGAUCCUGCUGGACGGGGCCAAAUGGCGUGGCCAAGGACUCCGGCUGGAUGCUGGAGUCAGCUGCACCACCGGGCGCAGCAGGCGGCUUCGUUUGAGCAGAAGGAUCGCCAGCAGUAGGCGGGGCGGCUGAGGACUGGAGGACAGAGUCGAUGGCGUCUGUUGGAGGAACGGGCGGCGGGUCCGCCCCCACUUGGGUGCCUCCAGUAGCGGGCAGCACCUCGGUGCGUGGCUUGUUGCUUGAGGCCCGGUCAGGCUGGGGCUGACCGUACGCCCUGACCUCCGGCAUGUCGACGUCGCUCUCCUCGUCUUCCUCCUCCUCCUCAUCUCCUUCCUCCUCCCCGUCUUCCCCUUCGUCGCUGGAGUCGAUGACUUCAGCAGAAUCUUCACUGUCCUUCGGGUUCAGCCCGAGCCACUCGUGCGGAGCUUCGCCACCUUCCUCGACCACCUCCGGUACAAAGACACUAGUGUCGGUGAAGUCGGCGAUCGCCGCUGCCCUGUCGACAAGCUCAGCUUCCACCGCCGCCAGCUCCUCCUACGCCUCCAGCCGGAACGUGGCUAACUGGGCUAGAUCUAGCCCAGGGUACCACGCCUUGACGAAUUCCAAGGCCCAGCACGUUCCUGCCCGGGCUGCUGAGCCCUUCCAGGCCUCCAGGCGGCCGACCGCCACCUCCAGCCAGUCGGCAGUCCGACUUGGGGUGCGCGGAGCCGGCAGGCCUAGCCAGAGGGCAGAGACCGCCUGGGCUUCGGCGCGCUGGAGGCGGCGUAGCAGGCGGUGGGCAGGCCUAGCCAAGAGUCCGCGGGGCGUCUGCGGCGAUCUGCGCACCUUCCGCCCUUCGCUCCUUGCGCUGGGCCUCGAUCAUCUGGAUCGCGGCUACGGAAUGGCCCGGGAAGAAGUCUGUGCGGGCAGAAGAAGAAAAAAUGCCAAGAACAUAAGCAAGGGCCGGCAUCUCAAAGCAAGAAACCAGGGGAGCAAGGCUUACCAUCGACCAAGUCUUCGAUGCUGCUGAAGCAGGCUGUCAUCUAGGCCUCCUUGUCGGCCCAGGCAGAGCGCUCGAGCUUAAACUCGGGAAGGAGGCUGGUCUCCGCCAUCUCUGCCUUUAGCUGGGCCGCCUUGAGGGUUUCCGCCUGUUCGGCGAGCUGGGCGACCAGGUGGUCCCGCUCCUCCGUCAGCUUGCUGCACUCCGCCUCCUUGCCACGCAAGGGGUUCUUGGCUGCCCCCAACUGCUGCUGCAGGACGGCAUUAGCCUCUGAAGAAAGAAAGAGAAGAAGAAGGCAUCAGUCAAGCAGACAAGACAAAGGAAAGAAACAACCGAGGAGAUUCGGCCCGACUGCUCAGCAGUCGGCCCGAACCUCGGGGACUACAGCCCGCGGGCGCGCCAGUGCACCCCCGCGGAAAAGAAGUAGUCGACAAGGAAAAAAGAACAACUGAGGAGAUUCGGCCCGACUGCUUAGCAGUCGGCCCGAACCUCGGGGACUACAGCCCGCUGGUGUGCCAGCGCGCCCCCGCGAAGAAAGAAGACAGAAACUUACGCCGGCUUUCGGCGAGAUGGGCUGUCUGCGCCUCCAGCUCCCGAACCUUGGAGUUGUAGGCGGUCGCGCGAAGGUUAUGAUAGUCCUGCAGAAGAAACAUCAGAAUGAAAUCAGCAAUCAACAAUUGCAAGUUAAAGUUCCGACCCGCCUGCUCAGCAGCCGGCCCGGAACUUGGGGACUACACCCAGUGGGUGCGCUUGCGCGCCCCCAUGAGAGAAGCAAAGAAGAUCAUUCGAAGAAGAAACCAAAAGACAAUUUACCCGGAUAGCGGUGCGUGACUCCAAGUAGGCCUAGUUGCAGCGCUUGAGUGCCACCGCCUCUGCCCGGAGCUUGGCUUGGACGUCAAGAGAUGCCUCGUUCAGGGCGCCAGUCCCGCCCCCGUGUACCCAACCCACGGGCGCGGCACUGGUCGCCUCGGUAUCAAGGGCCGACGAGCUCGUGGUGCCGAUCUCUUGCGGCCGCGGUGCUGAGGCCGCCUUCUCCAGAUAGUGGCGCGUGGGAAUGCAGACCGCAGGAACCAGGACCGUUGCCACCGUAGUCUCGACCGGUGGCACCGGCGGCGCCACUGGCUGUUCGUCCCGCGGCUCGCUUGCUGGCGGCGGCGGCGGCGGGGGGGAGGAGGGGGGGAGGGGGGGCAGCGACACAAAGACGUCCGGCAUGGCUACGUCGCCGCCCCCUGCUCCCGGAUCGGGUAGUCUCCGCUGGCUCCUCUGGCCGUCGCCUUGAAAUCAGGCGGAGGCGGCGUAGUGUUCAGGGGGGCCACAAGUAGUGGCUCUUGGCGGCGGGCGGCCUCUACGAGCCGCUUCUUCUCUGCGGCUUGGGUUUCCACUUGCGCCAGCGCCCUCUCGACAGACGCGGCAGACAAGGCCGCCUGCUCCUUGGCCAGGCGGUCAGCCUCCGCCGCAUCGCGCGCCUCCCGCGCAUUCCGCUCUGUCGCCUCCCAGAGGUCGGCAGCCGGGUCGAUGCGCCGGCUGGUCGAGGAGGUUGCUGCCGACCUGAGGACCAAGCCGGCGCCCGAUUUCUCGAGGGUUAGCGGGGCCCUAAAAGAAGAAGACAAGUCAGAAGACUUUCACACCAGAUUGAUGAAAAGACAAGGAGUAAGGGAAUGAUGCUUACACCGACACCAUGACAGGCACCUUCGGCUGCCUCUGAUACUGGUCCGCCUUGGCUGCGGUCCUUCUCCGCCUGGUCACCGCGGUCGGGUUCUUGGGCUUCUUUGGAGUGUUGCCGAACAGGGUCAAGCCCUCACUACAAGAAAUAUGUCAACUUGUGACCACCACUAUUGGUCACUGAAAGGUCAUAAAUUUCCAUUUACGACCUUUUUGUGACCAAAAACAGAAGGUCAAAAGCUGGCCGUCGUAAACUGACUAUAGCGACCUUUCUUCUGGAAUGGUCAAAGACGUUUACGACCAAAAUAUUCCUACUGUGGCGUUUUGGUCACUAGCAACCUCCCCCAGGCCACGUAGGCAUCCAGCGUGGCAAGCUGAUGUGGCACAAGAUUCAGCCCGGUCCAAUUCGAUUUUCUACAUGGGCCGAGCCCAUUAAUUCAACCCAUUUAUGUUUUUUUUCUCGAUUUUCAUGAGUUGCAUGGACCAAGCCCAUCAAUUUAGCCUAUUUAUAUUUUAUAUAUCAGUUUUCGUCAGCCACAUGGGCAUAGCCCAACAUUUUAGCCUUUUUAUUAUUGGGCCAUGGCCUUUGUUUUCUUGUUUUUUAAGAUUCUAGUAAGUGGGUCCGAAAUGUCAGGUUCUGUUUUGUGGGUCCCUCAUGUCAACGUCAUGUUCUUCAGAUUUCAAUAUGCCAGUGAAUAAAUAACAAAUAUUUAAAUUCAAAUAGACAGAAAACACAUGUAAUACUUCAAAUAACAACAACCAGAAUCAGUAUGGAGCUCUUGCUCUACCAAUAACACGUAAUACAAUUGGAAUCACAAUAUUACAAGCUCUAAAAGUGUGAUGGCUGGCUACAGUAAUUUACAACUCCACAAUUGUCUUCUCUUCUUCAGAAUGGAGCUCCUGUCAAUAGCGAUCACAAACUGGGCACAUGCUCCUGUCAUAUGAACCACAUGCCAUACUCACUAGACGACCAUAGUCAGGAUUAGGCUGUGACCUUCAUUACAAACAGCAAUAUGAAUUUCCAUCCUUUCCACGAUCACCCUUUCAAGGAUUGGUGCUGACUCACAUUAAAAAAGAUUCCAUACGGACAAGCAUUCUAGAAACUAACUAGUCAAGGAUCACAUAUAUAGUUGUAAAGGCAUUCCAUACUAUUAAGAUGGACCAAAUUCAUGCAGAUACAACAUGUCUCACUAGUUCAAAGUGGAGCCACAGGAAGCUUACCAUUACGCAAUGGAUUGAUCAACAAAAGGGCCAGGUAGACGGCAGGACCAACACAUAUUAUCCAUCCCUGGGUCCUCCAGCUUCCAACAUGUUGCCUCCUCCUUGCCCUUCCUUUAAGAAAAAUAACUUCCUUCAAGAAAAACAACACAUGGUCAGUGCUGCCCCAAUAUAGCAAUCAAGAACUACAAAUGCAACGUAGCCUCAAAUUUAACAGAGCAAGAACUACAAAUGCAACAUAGCCUCAAAAACUAAGUUUGACAUGUCAUUUUAAAGAUGUGCCGACCUUUAUUUAUUUCUAUCCUUGGAUGAGAAGGCUAGAGCAAAGUUAGCUUUCUUGUCUGCGUAAGGAUGAGAACUAAUAACUGUAGUGUUGCAACAUAAGGACAGUACAGAUACCAUAAUAAGUUUCAGGAACAUCACAUCUAGCACAGUUGCAGAGAUGGCACAAAAUUCUUCUAUGCAAUUUUUAACAUAUUUGUAAUAAUUUUCAUAAGCAAUGAAUCAUGACAAACAAAUUAUGAGUUAUGAAGUGGUUUCAAACUAUAACAGUGAAGGACUAGACCCACAAAACACAACGAUGUAUAGGCACUAAACGUACAGCAAGUAAUAAGAACCGAGACCAUAAAUGAUACUGAUCAAGGAUAAAAACAGGUAGGUAUCAUAUAAUUCUCAUCAUAAUCAUACAUUGAAUUCAUUAAAGGCUACAGAUAUAGAAGUAUCAGGCAACCAAAAGGGUUAAGACCAUACACAAGGAUCAGUGUUAGCGGAAUUGAGAUAUAUUUGUACAGGGUAAUGAAAGGUGCGAAUCCAGUGCAAGAUAAUAGAGCAAAUAUGUCAAAGUUAUUUAGAUUUGCUAAUGUGUUUGUCACACUACCAAAAUUCAAGAUAAAUCAUGACAGGGAAACGAGUGAAUUACAGCAAAGGAGGCAUCUAAUUUGACUACCAGUACCACAAUCAUUGAGUGAAAGCAAACACCAGAGAAUUCAGAAAUUUUUUGAACUGAAUGCAAGCAAGUUUGAUCAUGACAUAGCAAGUCUGCAGUCCGUAAUUAGAUUAGAUGUUCUAACUCAUGAUCCACAUACAUAGAGACCUACUGGAAUCUGCUUACGCUUAAACAAGAAAGAGAACAAAAAAAACUAAACCUAACUAUGCAGCAGAGAGAGAUAGCAUGGGGGGACGACCUAUGGACCAAAAUGUCCUUCACUAGAUCGUUCAAGGGAGCACAACAACAGUAGCAGACCUUGCAUGAUCCUUCACACAACCAGAUCGGAGCAACCCGCAAAGAAACACAUGAAUUAGCAUUCAUUCAUUAGCAGCAUUGGCCUGCCAAAAUAAAUCUCAGUUAUAUAAUUCACUGUUGAAUACAGAGAAAGAUAAUUGCUUCUAUGCAAAAUGUUACACAUCAGUUUAUCAUAAAACACAAAUGGAAGUAGGAAAAUGAUUUAGUAAAAUGCUCACAUAAUAGAUCAUAUCAGCCGAGCUUGCAAAGGCUUAAGAUCUAACUGGCCGAAUGGAUUUGUAAUAAGGUAUUGGAUUUAUCAAACUGUGUAAUUAUACAUCAAGGUUUGCAGGUGCAAGAAAUCCAUCAGAUGGAUCAUGGCAUGCACGACAAAAUUUGAUACAGUUUUAAUUGAAGACAGUAUGUACAGUAUGAGCAGUGAAAAAUAGAAGCAUCUCUUGUAUAUAUCCUAAUUUACCAGUUGUUUAGCACCAAGGUACAGGUGAGAGCUUAGUGCAACAGUCACAGGGAUCAAAAGGUAUUCCAGAAUAAAAUAGCAAGGUUGUUAAUUCAGAUUCAAUGUCAAGGCUGAACAUACUAGUGAUUACAAAACUGAACGAGCCAAGGCUGUUCAUUCGGGUUCACAGGCAAUCAACAAGAUGGCCGAGAUCGGGACCAAGCAAUAUACAGAGGUGGUGGGAUCAGGGGGCGCGCGUGCGCGAUACCUUGGAGGUACUGCUGCUGCUGGUGCUGGGGAGGCUGGUCGCCCUUGGCGGCGGCCUUCUUCCUGGCCUUGGAGGGCUUGUCGGGGUCGUCGUCGUAUCCUCGCGCACGGGCGCGCUGGCCAUCAUGGUUCCGGCGACCUUCGACAGAGAGGAGGGCGUCCAGGAAUUCAGAUACCCACGCUAGGGAGAAGGAGCAGAGCCGCGCCGGCGGAGGGAGCUUCUCACCUCUUGUAUCCGAGGAUGGUGCCGCGGAGGUAGAGCCUCACGCGCUGGCCGGUGCGUCCCUUCACCAUCUUGCUACUGCAGCGCCGCCGGGGAAGGGAGCUGAGGUUCACCAUCUUCCUGACAACUGCCGCCGCCUCCGUCCCCACAGACGAGGCGAACAUGGCCCCGCCGUCUUGGAUGGCCUGCACAAACCCGCACAAACACAAUGAGAUUCGAGCAAGCUGAAGAAAUCUAGAAGGAGGAGGAGAAGAAAGAGGGGCAAUACCAGAUCUCACCUACACGUGCCGCCUGCGAGGUGGCCAUAGCGUCGAUCUAGGGUUUCGGCACGGAGAGAAAGAGAGGGUGGAGUCGAAGGAGAGUGUGGAGUCGAAGGAGGAGGCGAACGACGCGACGGACCGAGCGAGGCGGGGACGGUGUCGCGCGCGCGCGUGCUCCGAUGCGGCGGCGGCGGUGGAGCAGAGAGCCCCGCGAGCGAGGGAGGCAGAGGAGCAUCGGAGGAGGACCUCGGGCUUCUCUUCUGUCGUGCUUGGGCAUGGAGUGGCGGCGAUGCAAGAGCCCCGCGGGACGCGAGGUUGGUCGAGGACGAGGGAGACGAGGGGAGAGUGAGGGCGGCGACCGAGGUGGGUGGCGGGGANNNNNNNNNNNNNNNNNNNNNNNNNNNNNNNNNNNNNNNNNNNNNNNNNNNNNNNNNNNNNNNNNNNNNNNNNNNNNNNNNNNNNNNNNNNNNNNNNNNNNNNNNNNNNNNNNNNNNNNNNNNNNNNNNNNNNNNNNNNNNNNNNNNNNNNNNNNNNNNNNNNNNNNNNNNNNNNNNNNNNNNNNNNNNNNNNNNNNNNNNNNNNNNNNNNNNNNNNNNNNNNNNNNNNNNNNNNNNNNNNNNNNNNNNNNNNNNNNNNNNNNNNNNNNNNGGGGGGGGUGGAUGGAAAACGGGGGAGAAGAGAGCUAGGGUUUCGCCUCACAUGGGGUUGGUGGGGGAGGUGAGGGGUGAGGGCUGCCGUUGGAUCCGGGAGGAUCCAACGGUGUUUCAUGCAUGAUCCGCGUGUCUGGUCCACGGACCAAUCAGAAUGCAGUACAACAUUAUGACCAACUAACUUGGUCGUGAUAGAUUUAAAAAUAAGAUGUUAAAAUCAUGUAAGCUAUUUUAUGAUCACAAAAAUUCAAAAAAAAUAAAAGACCUUCUCAUUGUGUCACCAAUUGUGAACUACCUUUCAGGAAAAUAACAAACAUGGAAUGGCAAACAAUGUUGCCUAAGAAAGUUUUCAUUUUUUUUGCAAGAAAAAAAUCAUUUUUCAUUUCCUGAGUGCCCAAAAUGGGUUUUUUUUCUGAAGGACCUACCAAAUAAUUGUUGCAAAAUUAAACCAAAUCAAUUUUCUAAAAUAUACUAGGACAUAUUUAAUGCACAAUUGACAAAAUGGUUGGGUGUCAAAAGUUUUGAUCCACCUCUGGUGAAAAAGACAAAUUUCUGACGAUUCAGUUGGAAGCGGGUCAAAUUUGAACUGCAGUUGCCUCAUAGUUUGCUAUUUAUUUUUUUAAAAAAUCAUUUCUAGAUACAUAAGUAUCUAUUUAAUCAGAGAAACACCAAAAAAAUCCAAGAUUCAACCACUAGCUAGGAACGGUCAUUCCUGCCGUUUUGACCGCAUUUUGAAACGGGUAUAAAAAAUUCAAAAAGAAAAACAAAAAAUUGGGAAACCUUCGCAUUGUGUCAUCAUAUGUGGCCAAGUUCCUAGGAAAAAUAACAAACUUGUAAUACGGCAAUUAUUUUAAAAAAGUGUUCUCAGAAACGAGCUAUCAUGUGUGGAGAUCAAUGGCUUUCAAGCCAAAUGAUCAAUCUUAUGGCCACAUUCAUGGCAUAGUUUGUUCAAAUGAUCUCAUAUUGUGCACAAGGGUGCAUAUUGGAAUGGCAAACAAUGUUGCCUAAGGAAGUUUUCAUUUUCGUUGGACGAAAAAACCAUUUUCCAUUUUUCGAGUGCCCGAAAGGAGGUUUUUUUGUGAAGGAACUACCAAAUAAUUGUUGAAAAAUUGGACCGAAUCAUUUUUAUAAAAUACUAGGCCAUAUUUAAUGCACAAUUGACAAAAUGGUUUGGUGUAAAAAAAUUUGAUCCACCUCUCGUGAAAAAGACAAAUUUCCGCCGAUUCAGUUGGAAGCGGGUCAAAUUUGAACUGCAGCUGCCUCAUAGUUUGCUAUUUAUUUUUUCCAAAAAUCAUUUCUAGUUACAUAAGGACCUAUUUAAUCAGAGAAACACCAAAACAAUUCCAAGAUUCAACCACUAGCUAGUAACGGUCAUUCCCGCCGUUUUGACCGCAUUUUGAAACGGGCAUAAAAAAUUAAAAAAAAAUCAAAAAAUUGGGAAACCUUCGCAUUGUGUCAUUAUAUGUGACCAAGUUUCCAGGAAAAAUAAUAAACUUGUAAUACGUUAAUUAUUUUAAAAAAGUGUUCUCAGAAACGAGCUAUCAUGUGUGGAGAUCAAUGGCUUUCAAGCCAAAUGAUCAAUCUUAUGGCCACAUUCAUGGCAUAGUUUGUUCAAAUGAUCUAAUAUUGUGCACAAGGGUGCAUCUUGGAAUUCCAAAUAAUGUUGCCUAAGGAAGUUUUCAUUUUCUUUGCACGGAAAAUUCAUUUUUCAUUUUCCGAGUGCCCGAAAUGAGGUUUUUUUGUGAAGGAACUACCAAAUAAUUGUUGCACAAAUGGACCAAAUCAAUUUUAUAAAAUACUAGGCCAUAUAUAAUGCACAAUUGACAAAAUGGUUGGGUGCAAAAAUUUUGAUCCACCUCUGAUGAAAAAGACAAAUUGUCGUCGAUUUAGUUGGAAACGGGUCAAAUUUGAACUGCAGCUACCUCAUAGUUUGCUCUUUAUUUUUUCCAAAAAUCAUUUCUAGGUACCUAGGUAUCUAUUUAAUCAUAGAAACACCAAAAAAAUUCCAAGAUUCAACCACUAGCUAGUUACGGUCAAGCCCGCCGUUUUGACCGCAUUUCGAAACGGGCAUAAAAAAUUCAAAAAAAAUCAAAAAAUUGGGAAACCUUCGCAUUGUGUCAUUAUAUGUAGCCAAGUUUCCAGGAAAAAUAAUAAACUUGUAAUACGGUAAUUAUUUUAAAAAAGUGUUCUCAGAAAUGAGCUAUCAAGUGUGAAGAUUCAUGGCUUUCAAGCCAAAUGAUCAAUCUUAUGGCCACAUUUAUGGCAUAGUUUGUUCAAAUGAUCUCAUAUUGUGCACAAGGGUGCAUAUUGGAAUGUCAAACAAUGUUUCCUAAGGAAGUUUUCAUUUUCGUUGGACGAAAAAACCAUUUUCCAUUUUUCGAGUGCCCGAAAGGAGGUUUUUUUGUGAAGGAACUACCAAAUAAUUGUUGCAAAAUUGGACCAAAUCAUUUUUAUAAAAUACUAGGCCAUAUUUAAUGCACAAUUGACAAAAUGGUCUGGUGUAAAUUUUUUUGAUCCACCUCUCAUGAAAAAGACAAAUUUCCGCCGAUUCAGUUGGAAGCGGGUCAAAUUUAAACUGCAGCUGCCUCAUAGUUUGCUAUUUAUUUUUUCCAAAAAUCAUUUCUAGUUACAUAAGGACCUAUUUAAUCAUAAAUACAUGGUUUGGUGGCGAUACGUCGAGGUUUGGGCGGUGGCCGAGGGCCCCAACUCUAGAGCGCGUAAACUCGCAUGCCCGCCGCGUGGUCACCGCGUGACCGUGGCGUUGCCAUGUGUUCUAGGCGGCCUAGGCAUGUCUAGUGGGUUGGGCACUCCCCAGGUUGGUGCUAGGAAGAAAAUUACAACAUAAGAUUCUCACGAGGAGACCAAUCGAUGCUCAAACAUGAAUUAGCAGCCAAGUGUUUGAUUAGCGGUACGGGAAAUGUACAUGGCUAAUGGGCAUGAGUUUUGGCUGAGGAUGAUCAGUUACUAAGAAGACCGUUUUCACAAAUUUUCAGCUCAAAAGAAGGAGCCUAGGUGGUACUUGCUUUGCAAACCACCACACUGGACACAAAUACGAAUGUUGAAGCUCGGCUCAAAAUAAUGAAUGGAUUGAGCUGGCAUUUGGUGGAGGAUGGUUAUUUGGGCAUAGGAAAGCACUGUAGAAAAUGGAUACUAUUUGGACAUGCCAAAGUGGUACUUCCUUCACAAACUGUUACUCUGAACAGAAUAGGAAAAUGAAUAUUUUUGAAUUAUUUUUGAACUAGGCAAGAAAGGUUUUUACAUAUUUGACGAAGAUAUGACCCAAAGAAUUUAUGAGAUUUUUUUGGGAAUUUUGGGAAUGACAGGAAUAUAGGUUGCUUCACAACCUAGGGCAAAAACUGCCACAUGGACAUGACACAUAGGCAAAACUGAUGAGGUGGCGCCUAGUCAUAGCAACCCACCACAAUUUACAAGUCUAUGACCAUCUAUAUUGGUCGUUAACAACUAGAAAUAAGGCAGCGGACUAGCGCUGUUAGCUUUAUGACCAUUUCAUGUAAGGAAAUUAUGACCUUUCUGACCAAAAUGGUCGCAGUGGUUUAGGGUUUGGAGCCCCUCGAACAGCUUUUGACCAAUUGGUCUCAAAUGGUCAUAAAUCUAUGACCAAUUCUUCCAGGGUCACUGACAGAAGGUCAUAAGUUGACAUAUUUCUUGUAGUGCCUGUUUCCGCUUGCGCUUGCCGCCUGGGGCGGGCUGCCCAGAAGAGGGGCCGGCGCCGGUGGUAGCGGAGCUCCGGGCGGGGCGCGGCUCGUCUUCGUCUUUGUCGUCGUCAGGCCAAGCCUCCACGCUGCCGCUUCCCUCGGAGCCGCCUGCUCCACUACCGCCGUCCGCUCUGCCACCGCCGCCUGUCGCGUCGUCGACCAGGGCGGUCGCCCCCAUGUCGGGGUCGUCCACAUCACUCUCCGCCCUGUCAGCCUGAAGGUUAUCACCCGGCCCUAGGAGGGUGGUUGUGGCCUCGGACAUAUAAAUCAGCAACCAAGAAGGAAUUGAGUCAUGAAGAGAAACGAAGGAAAAGGAAACAGUUUGAAGGACAAAAAGAAGAAACUUACAGCGGGAGGCGGGUUGUGGCGAGAGUAUGGCCGCUUCCCAUACCGCCACUCCUUCUCCAACAUCUUGAGGUCGGAGAUCUCGUUUACCAUCCGCGAGACUUCAGUAGGCGGCAUCCCCUUCGUGCACAGCCGGCACGGAUCGCGGUGUCCACCCAUCCGGAAGAUCGGAUGAGGGCGGCUCUCGAGCGGGACGACCUGGCGCUCCACGAAGGCGACGAGGAGGUCGGAGGCCACGAGGCCCUCCGACUCCUGGAGCACUCAGAGCCGGCCGAUGGCGGCCGCCGCGUCCGUCGACAUCGGCUUCGACUUGUACUUCCAGGACGCGAGCUCCGGUGGGGGGGGCCCUCUUAGGCCGGCAGGUUGAGGAAGUCGGCAGCAGGGUCCACAUUCUCGACGUAGAAAUAGGAUUGCUGCCACAUCUUCACCGACUGCACUAGCUUGAUGACGGAGAAGGCGUUUCACUGCGCCGGCCGGCGCACGACGACGAAGCCCCCGCACUCGGCCGCCGUCUCCUUGGCGGAGGUGCCGAGCUUCCCAUAGAAGAAGGCUCCCCACAGCUCGAUUGUGGGGAGGAUGCCGAGGUAGCCCUCGCACGUCGUGACGAAGGCGGAGAGCAGGGUCAAGGCGUUGGGCGUGAGGUGGUGAGGUUGAAGGUUGUAGAAGUCGAGGAAGGUGCGGAAGAAGUUGCUCGCCAGGAGGCCGAAGCCUAGCAGGAAAUGCGAGCGGAAGACGACCCGCUCACCUUCCUGCGGCGCCGGCGAUAUCUCCGUCUCCGGCGGCACCCGCGCCUUGACGAAGGCCGCGCUGGGCAUCCGGCGCGUGUCGCGCAGGAAAGUGAUGUGAUCCUCGAUCACAGUCGAUCCACCCCAGUCACCCAUGGCUCUGUCUGGCGGCGCGGAGAGGAGGAAUGCGCCAGCGGUGGGGAACGGUGGCAGCAUUGCGGCAACAGCAGCGGCGGAGGAUGAGAAAAGGAAGAAGAAGAGUGGGAGAGGGCGUAGGAGCUUAGCCGCACCUCUCCCCCCUCCCUACUUAUAGCGCCCGGGCUAUGUAGCCGAGGGGCCGGGACGUGGGGACGUGGGAUUAACUGCGCCCACGCCCCCACGACCCCCCGUUUUUCCGCUCACAUUUACCACGUCGUAAGUAAUCGUGGGGAAUGGCAACCGUCCCCUUCGGCGCAGUUGAUCUGUCCGGUUGCCGAGGCACGGUGGUGGCGGGCUCGGCCCUGUGUCACGUCCCGUCCAAGCGUGGGUCGGGUGGCAGGCCGACGGGGCUGACGUGCGCCACAUGGCGCGCCCGUGGAGGGCGGCGGCCUGGGAAGCUUAGCAGGCACGCCACCUAUCUCCCGCCUGGGAGAUUGAAAAACCAACAGUACGAAGCUCCGCCUGCAAGAGAUCGGCCUCAGCAGCCGGCCGACCGCACGGCGGACCGGUACCUUCCCGGAGCCCAGUGAGGAGGGAAGCCGCUGAGGCUUCGCAGCCCCUCGACCGCGGUGCCUCACCGGCUUCGGGGACUACUGUCGGAGUAAUGGGCCAUGGGUAGGCUCACCCGAGUCCCUGGAUUCAUCAAAACUUUUGGCCAUCUCCGCCUAGCUGGGCCCCAAGAUGAAGCUCCGCCCUCUGGGGCCGGCUGGCUCAGCGGUCGGUUGCCAAAGGUCGGCCGUCCCAAGACUGCAGCGCUCCGAGUGGCCGGCUCCUGGCGGCCGCCCUCCAGAGAGGGCGGUAACAGGCAAGCGGCCACCACACGACUACGGGGCGACCGAGCUCCCAUCAAGAGUACAAGACGAAGCAUGGCUAUAGUGAGGAACGACGCCUCCCACGCUCGAGACGGGCGUGGCUACAGUGCUCCGUACAGACGGAGAUCUCCGCACGACGGAGCACUGUGCCGUAUCUACCCUGACGUCGCUCCGGGCAGGCGAAGCCCUGUUCACCACGACGGCCUGUCGGUACGGCAGGCCAGAGGCGGGCCCUAUCGGGAAGUGACCCCAAGGAAGACGGCGGAAGCUCAACCAGGCGGAUUAGAGAGGGGCCGGCCUCCAGCAGGCGGCCGUCCCUUGUCCCGAGACGAGCACGCCAUUAAGCUGAUAAGACCAGGUGUGGCUAUAGUGUCCUCCCACCAGGCGGCGGGACUGUAGCCACGCUAGGAUGACCAAGCCCCCACCGCCAACGACACGGCUACAGUGAGCAGCCGCCAACCAGUCGGUGGGGCCCACCAGGUGGCGGGCCCCAGCGGUCGGCGGAGAAGCCGGAGGCUGGAGACACUAACAGCCGGGCCCAGCGGCCGGCGAGGUUACCAUUGUACCCCUGGGGGGUAGGCCUAUAUAAACCCCCCAGGCCACCCAUGCAAAGGGUUCCCACACCAUUAGAACUAGCCACCCCCUAGUGCAGGAAGAGAGCUAGCCUUGCCACCUUCUGCGUCUAGCAUACAGCUCGAGGAGCACCAUUGUAUCACUUGUGCCUUAGUGAUCAUGCGGAGACCUCGCAGAGCAGGACUAGGGGUGUUAUCUCCUAGGAGAGCCCCGAACCUGGGUAAAGUACGCCGGCGUUCGUGUCUACGCCUUAUCCCGCUUCCAGGCACCGGCGACGUUCUACUCGCUCCCACCAUGAUAAGCCAUCCAUUGGCAUAUGUCGCACCCAACCCCCGACACCUCAACCACUUCGAGAAAAUUAUGCACGCCCUUAAUGUACUCGGAGGUGUGUCUAUCACCAUACAUCCAUUGCCGGUUCAUCUGCGUGCAUUAUAUAUAAUUAUGUGUGUCAAAAGUAAGAAAAUCAGACAAAUAUCUACCUAAAGUAAGAAAAUCAGACGAGUAUCAGAAAGAAGAUAAGAACAAGAGGCUCCCCACUGUGGUGCCGGCGACGAGAUCGGCGCGGGCGAUCAACGGCGGUGAAAACGGGGACGGGGCGUGACGAACCGCUAAAUCUAGACAAAUCUCGAAAAAAAUGGAGCUCCGAGGUCGAGCUUCGAGAGGAGAAAGCUUAACUAGUGUGGGUCGGGCAUUUCAUCGAACACCUCAUGUGCAUAGGAGGUGAACUAGAGCACCAAAAUGCCCUCUCAUCGCCGGAUUGAAAACACAUAGCACUGGAGUGCUCUGCCGCGGCGGUGGGUAUAUAUAGGCAAGUUAUUUGUCCUGGUUCAUGGCAUGAACCGGGACUAAAGCACCCCCUUCUGUCCCGGUUCAAGCCAUGAACCGGGACCAAUGGUUGUGGGCCAGGAGCGAGGACCAUUGGUCCCGGUUCGUGGCUUGAACCGGGACAAAUGGUUCCACACGAACCGGGACCAAUACCCACGAGGCCCCGGCCGUCCCCCUGGGCUCACGAACCGGGUCUAAUACCCCCCAUGGGUCCGAACGGUAGCCUUGUUUUCUACUAGUGUUAGUACAAAGUUAAUAGAAAGUUGGGUCAUCUAUUUCGAAACGGAGGGACUAGUAGACUUUCCACUGAGCUGAUACCGCUUUUAUGAUUGAUAUUCGUUCAAGUUAUUUCAAUAUCUAGUUUAGAAGAAUUUGAAUUCAAAAUUCAAUUGAAUUUGUUCAAAAUAUGUUUGGUAUUUCUCGGUAACCGUGGUAAUCGAGAGUAUUGCCCCCCACGAGAAAAUUUGUCCAUUCGGAAUCCAAAACCUUGGUUAUGACUUGUAUCUUGCGUUUCUGAUGCUGAUUUUUCGUUGUGAGUCUGCUUGUAUGUAAAUAUUUGUAUAUUCGAAAUGCAAGGACAUAAUAAAACCAUGGUUUGAAAAUAACUUAAUCUACACCCUACACUGUGAAAUACAUUUUGCGUGCAUGUGUGUUUGCUACUAUUCUGUAUCAGUUGACACAUUGCCCCAAGAAACUCAAGUGGCUUACUAGGGAAUUUAUGUUCUGGUUUGGGUUCCGUGCUGCCAGUGGACUUCAUACUGCUAUAUCUUCUCAGUGUAGCCUGCCCCACUUCUAUAAUCUGGUUACAUUUGUUGUGACCGUACGUAUUAAGUUUUGUGAUAAGUGCGUUGGUUAUAUAUAUAUGCAUCCUUGAUACGGAGAGCGGAGACGAAAAGAACUUCCUUCUAGAGAAACAUAUAUAUCAUGGGGUCGCUAUCUAGAUGGUCCGAAGGGAUAUUUCCCGGAAAACACAAAUGUUCUGCAUGACAUUGACAUCCAAUGAUAUUUUUACUUUUUAGCUAUUCGCUAGCUGGCACUGCACUUGUGGAUCUCGUACAUUUAUUCGAUGGUUGUCGUCUCACGUACAGACAUGAGAGACCGUGUGUGGUGAAGUAUCGUGAUAUAUAUACAUGUAUGGUCGUCAUGCAUGAAGUAUGCGACUAGCUAUGUACUACGUGUGAAAAGUAUUAUUUGGCUGGACACAACAAGAGACGCUGCCUCAGCUAUGUUGCUGUCUGGAGAGCCUGUUGGUUCAACGAAUUACUUCUGAGAUUGGCUGCAGUUCGGUCAGUGACCUAGCUAUCAUCCCUUAGACUGGCUGGAGUGGAGCCAUAUUCAAGCUUACUCUAGAAGCAAAAGCGCAUUUCGCUGCACCGUCUGUGUUCUGAUUGAUUGUACACUUGUUUUACUUUGGGCCUCUGAAUCUCCUCUGGUUUCACCUUUGUGAGUCAAAGAAAUUUCCUGUGGCGAAUUUAUAUUGCAUGAGAGAGUUUUUCUAGUGCACCAUCCAUUCUUUGUUUGGAGAGUGAACCAUGCAUGCAUAAACCUGGGAAUAGUUUGUAAUCCAAACUAAACCCAGGCCAACCAAUACAUGUAUAAGUCCAGCGAUCCAUCCAAACCAGACCAAAUUGCAAAUGCUACAAUCCAAACCAAUCCAAACUGAAUGUAUUUUCAAGCCAAAUCCAUCCAGACCUUUCUCUACGUUUAAUUUGAACCCAAAGUUUCAAACCAUGGGUCAGUCAACAACAACUGGAACAACCCCAAACUUAACCUGUAUGUACAGAACUACGAAAGGUGUGAGGCUCCUACCAACGGCGGCUAGCUUGGUGUCAGGAGCUUCAGUAUACGUGUGCGUGCACCGUAAGAGCAGAUGGCGGCGCCGGCACGGUGGCCCAUGGCCGGCUGCAGGACCUAUCCGGACGUGUGCAAGACCCUUUGGCUUCCAGAUUCUCAUCGGCUUCGUGACCAUCACCUUCGUCGGCCACAUCGGCAAGGUCGAGCUCACAACCAUCUUCAUGGUGACAGCGUCGUCGAAGGCCUCGUCUUUGAGUUCCUCGUGUUCUGCAUGGAGUUGACUAUUGUCACCAGAGAUCUCGGUGGUGGCGAGGUGGUACGUGCGCUCAUGUCACUCAUCUCAGGCGGCGGUUGCACCUAAACCAAGCGUUGGUCUCACAUUACGCUGACGGUGUGUGGUUAAACGGUCGCUAGACUGGUUUUUAUCCGUGGACUAAAACGGUCUGAGACCAAUUUAUCUCUGUCCAGACCAAACCAACCCAAUCUAUUAAUUACAAAAGUCCACACCAAACUAAAUUACGAUAGAGGCUCAAUCCAUUUCAACCGAACCAAAGCAGCCCAACAGGUAAACCAAAUUGGAACUAUGGUUCGAGACCAAACUAUUCUCAGGUUUAUGCAUGCACCAUGCACCUUGCUCUGAAGACAGAACUCUGAUGUCUAGGUUUCUCCAUGCACUGCACCCACAACUGGCAAGAGCCACACACGUAAGUACUCUAUAUACCUAUAUUUGUACGUCCUGCCAUGUGAACGUCAAGAUCUGACACCUGGAGAAAUUAAAAGGCCAUCGAAAAGUUUGCCGAUUGACCAGUUUUCAAUCGGUUGCUGCCUGUCAAGCUCACGACAAUGUACGCAUGCCACAUAUGUAACCUACUUAUACUGAACCACUGCCGGCAUUACCAACGUGACCCCCAGCUGAACUAUGCAUGCAUAUGUAGUAGCUAGCUACUAAUAAAGCGGUCAAAAACCAUUUACCCCCCUCCCCAAAUGUAAUACUCCCUCCAUUCAUUUUUACUCCACGUAUAAGAUUUUUGUCGAGUCAAACUUUUGAAACUUUGACCAAAUUUGUAUAAAAAUAUAUCAACAUCUACAAUAUCAAAAUAUACAUAAUAUGAAACUACAUUUCAUAAUGAAUCUAAAAAUAUUCCUUUGGCAUUGUAAAUAUUUGAUCCUUUUUUCUAUAAGUUUGGUCAAACUAGAGAUGCUUUAACUUCAGACAAAAGUUAUAUGCAGACUAAAAAAAAGGAGGAAGUAUUUGUGUACAACGACUGGUACAGCUGGCAUUGUCUUGUGUUUAAGUGGCGUUUUCUGGAAUUCUUGCGUCAAAUUGUCAUUAUUUACUUACUUUUGGUUUGUUACAUACAUAGAGUACUGUUCAUCCACGUAAGAUUGAUGUUGUACGGAAGAUAGACCUGAAAAAUAGAAAAAGGGACAGAAAGGAUGGAGUCUUCACGGAAACUGGUGGCUUGGCAACGAGUCAAAGCUCUAGAUCCAGUGUAUCCCUCCGCACUGCUUCAUUACUAGCAACCUACAGAAGGGACUGGUCAGGCUACCUAAGUGAAUAUAUACCAUUUCGCAACCUAAAAAAUAGUUUUUAUUCAACACGAAAUUGUAUUUCUAGCCAUUUAUCGACCUGAAGGUAGCUUUCGUACAUAUUUAAAAAAACACUCAGUUAUUUCCAUGUCACCCGCAAAAAAAUUAUACUGUUGAUGCAUCUUCUCUACUCUUAUAAAAAAUUAAGUUGGUGAUAAUGAUGUGCCUACCAUCUUGCAAUAUAGACCGUCCGAUCUAUAUCUUACCCGCACCUCUCUCCACAUUUGCAGAUACUUCCCUCGUUCAUCCUUAUCUCUCACAACCUCAUUAUUGAGCAAUUAAAAAAGAAAGCAUCUGAAACAAUCUGGCAUGGCGGCCGCUGCCGGCGUCGUCCAUCCUCAUGCCUCCGCUCAGUCCGACGACCAAUCACCACCACGCCCCACUCCUCGUCACCUUAUCUCUUCUCUUUCUUGAGAUAUCAUUAGUUUUACACAUGAGAUUAUUCUCACAUAGGACAAGCACAACAGGUGUUUUGUAAAAAAAGCAUCUUCAUGUCCCAUUCAAUGCACGAGCAUCUUGCUAGUUUACAUUAUUUCUCUUAGCAAGCAGCCUAUAUAUAAAAGACAACCUACGUGCUAAANNNNNNNNNNNNNNNNNNNNNNNNNNNNNNNNNNNNNNNNNNNNNNNNNNNNNNNNNNNNNNNNNNNNNNNNNNNNNNNNNNNNNNNNNNNNNNNNNNNNNNNNNNNNNNNNNNNNNNNNNNNNNNNNNNNNNNNNNNNNNNNNNNNNNNNNNNNNNNNNNNNNNNNNNNNNNNNNNNNNNNNNNNNNNNNNNNNNNNNNNNNNNNNNNNNNNNNNNNNNNNNNNCCCCAAAUGUAACGUGUGUGUACAACGACUGGUACAGCUGGCAUUGUCUCGUGUGUAAGUGGCGCUUUAUGGAAUUCUUGGGUCAAAUUGUUAUCAUUUACUUUUGGUUUGUUACAUACAAGAGCACUGUUCAGCAACAUAAGAUUGCUGUUGAACAGGAGAUAGGAAUACAACAUACAACUCAAACCAAUCACGAUCAUCAAUCAACCCAUAGGAUAAAACGAAUCUAAUCAAACAUCAUAGGAUGGUCAUACAUCAUUGGGUAAUAAUAUGUAGCAUCAAGUGAUACGUCUCGAACUUAUCUAUAAUUUUUGAUUGUUCCAUGCUAUUAUAGUAUCAAUCUUGGAUGUUUAUUAUGCAAUUAUAUGUAACUAUAUCAUUUUUGGGGACUAACAUAUAAACCUAGUGCCCAGUGCCAAUUGCAAUUUUUUUUUUCAUGUUUUUAGCUUUUCAGGAAAUCAAUAUUAAAAAGAGUCCAAAUGGAGAAUUUUUUUUUGGAUUAUGGACCAGAGGGGACCGUAAAAGCUUCGGGAGAAGACUUGACAAGCCACGAGGGUGCGACAAGCUUGGGAGGCGCCCCAGGCUUGUGGGCCCCUCGUGGCACCUCUUAGCCUAAUUCUAGCACUAUAAAUUCUGAAAUAUCCCCCCUACAUCAAAGAGUCACCCGAAAUACCUUUUCCGCCGCCGCAAGUUUCGGUUCUCGCGAGAUCCCAUCUAGAGGCCAUCCCCGGGCACUCUGCCGGAGGGGGGAUCGAUCACAGAGGGGCUCUACAUCAACCUUGCCGCUAUUCCGAUGAUGUGUGAGUAGUUAACCAUAGACCUAUGGGUCCAUAGCUAGUAGCUAGAUGGCUUCUUCUCUAUCUUUGAUCUUCAAUACAAUGUUCACAUUGAUGUUCUUAGAGAUCUAUUCGAUGUAAUCACUUUUUAUGGUGUGUUUGUUGAGAUCGAAUGAAUUGUGAGUUUAUGAUCAGAUUAUCUACAAGUAUUAUUUGAGUCUUCUCUAAACACUUUUAUGCAUGAUUAUUAUACCUUUAUAUUUCUCUCCGAUCUAUUGAUUUGAUUUUGCCAACUAGAUUGAUUUUUCUUGCAAUGGGAGAGGUGCUUUGCAAUGGGUUCGAUCUUGCGGUGCUCAAUCCCAAUCCCCAUCUCCAAAUGUAACAUGUGUGUACAACCACUAGUACAGCUGGCAUUGUCUCGUGCGUAAGUGGCGCUUUCUGGAAUUCUUGGGUCAAAUUGUUAUUAUUUACUUUUGGUUUGUUACAUACAAGAGCAAUGUUCAGCAACGUAAGAUUGAUGUUGAACGGAAGAUAUACAGAAAAAAUUGGAAAAGGGACAGAAAGGGUGGACUCCUCGUGGAGACUCAUGACUCCACAAUGAGUCAAUGGCUCAAUGCGCUUGAUCCAGUGGAUCCCUCAUCACUGUUUCAUUACCAACCUACGGAAGGUUCUUUUUUCAGAAGAGAGGCGUCACACGUACAGAAGGGAUUGAUCAGCUCACUUAAGUGAAUAUACCAUUUUGCAACCUAAAAAACAAGUUUUCCGUCGACGCAGAUUUUUAUUUCUAGCUAUUUAUCGGUCUGCAUGUAACUUUCUUACAGAUUUAGAAAAACACUCAGUUAUGUUUAGGCUGUCCAUGUCACUCGCAAAAAAAUUAUACUGUCGAUGCAUCUUUUGUGGUCUUUCUUGUAGAAAGCAGCCUAUAGAUAGAAGACAUCCACGUGGGUAGUAUUUCAGCUCUCUCGGCAUUAUGAAAUGGUGGCACAAAUAUAGCGUCAAGUUACACGACAAAAAGUUCCCAUCGAUAUCUCAUAAGAGCUUGCCACCAAAAGAAAGAGAAUCCCGUAUCAAUUAGAGAUUUUCCAUAUCCGAGGAAAUAAACAUAGAGAGUGACCUUUUACUAUGAGGAAGCAGACAGCAGUAUGUUCAUGCUAUUCGGUACUAACAUUAACGGCGAGGAAUUAAUUGUUACUUUUCCACACCCUUUCUACUAAUACGUCAUUGCAUACGUUGGAAGUCAAAAAGAACAAAAGAAAAUGCAUUACUAUACACUAAUAAAAUUGUAUACGCAUCCUAAAAUCACAAACGUAAAAAGACAACACAUAAAAUGUAAAUAAUGACAUUUUUUGGUAUGGUUUACAUGGUUAUGACCAAGGUUUUGGGUACUGCCAAAAAAUCUGGAUACCGGGCGGUAUGCGCGUUUCUCGCCGCUCCACAAGAAAUACCCAUCCCAAGCAAAAAAGAAAAAAAAAAUUCAUUUUUUAAAAUUUAGUAAAACACUCUACCUCGCAGUUACAUCAACAUUCUUAGUUGUGGUGUCGUGGUAACCUACUCUUUUGUGCCUCGAGAGGUAGCUGGUUGGAGUUGCCUUCUUGCCCUUUUUUUUGUUCAUUUCUCAGAACUGGUAAGUAAGAAAAGUAAAAAUAAUAAUGACCCAAAGAGUCGUACUCGCAACCUCAAACCUCUUAGCACGCACUCCCUCCGUUUCAAAAUAGAUGACUCAACUUUGUACUAACUUUACACUAGUAGAAAACAGGCAUUUGUCCCGGUUCGUAAGGGCCUUUUGUCCCGGUUUAAGAACCGGGACAAAAAGGUCGGUACUAAUGCCCUCCCCCUUUAGUCCCGGUUCUUACACGAACCGGGACAGAUGUGCCUCCACGUGGCCACUGCGGGCAGCCCAGACAAGGGGGCCUUUGGUCCCGGUUGGUGACAUGAACCGGGACCAAAAGGCUUCCACGCGUCAGCAGCUGGCUAGAGCUGAGGUUUUUCUUUUUAAAAAAAAAAAGUGGCUGGUUUAGGGGUUUUGGGGUUAAUUUAGGUUGUUAUUAGCUAGCUAAUAGGGAGAAGUGUCCUCUCUUAUAUCUUCGUCCUUGGUUUACCAACGCUACUGCUAUGUUCAUUUCACCCGCUGAUAUAUAAUAACUCAUGCUCGCAUCAUACAUCAUCAUAUAUAAUAACAAGUCCUACUAAUCAUGCAUCAUCAUACAACUUCUACUUAGUAUUAAUAAUAAGUCAUACGAUCAUCAUCCUCAUAGUCAUCGAACCCAACCCUACAUAAUUGUUCUUAGCACAUGAUCAUCAGUGUCAGGUAGGACCUAAACACCCUUAAGGUAAAAUAGCAUAAAACAAUAUAGACCCUGACUCUCCAUUAUGGAGAAUGGGGAUCAUCCUGUCUUCAAUUAUUGCGCUUCACUUCCUUUUGCUUUCAAGAAGCUCCUUACGACUGUCCAUACAUUUUUUCCAUUCUUUGAUUGUCAUGUCUCCACUUCUUUUAGAAAUCCGGUAUGGACAGUUGAGAUUCGUAGGACGACUUGGUUGUAUGUUCAAAACAUCAAGGCGACCGUGCACAUACAUCAGAUGAGGCACACAAUCAUUCAGGAUUAUCUGCUAAAAAACAUAGUAAUAACUUCAUAGUUAGCAAUGAUGUACUAGUUUUAGAAGUAUGCAAAAAGAUGCACGGAUGUCGUAAUAGUAAAAAAUCUUACCAGGGUAUCUCCAUGGUAGUUACCGUAGUUCACAUGUACACUAGUGGCACGUAUUGACCAUAAUGUUGAGGAGUUCGAUUGUAGAUAUUGUAAUUCUCAAGAUCAGUACAAAACGCGAUCAGAUGAUUUUUCUCCUUAUAAGUUAAUUCAGAGCCAUCGGUGUAGUGGGUUUUGUCUACCAUCUUCCGCAAAUUCUUUGAAGAAUGAAAAUAAGCUGUCAAUGGAAAUAAGCUGUCAACUAUUUCGAAAUAAACAAUAUAAAUUACUUAAUUACUAUGUUUGAGAAGCUCACAUAGGGGGAGAAUUGGAAGUGUAUCCACAAGAACCCAAAUGUCCAUUUUGUCUUGCUCGAUUGAAGGAUGUCGUGGCUCAUCUGUGGCCGGAAAGGCCCAAACCAGAUAGUUAUUUUGGCUUAGUGCAGCAAUUCCUUGAUGCGGUGCCGCAUAUCAAGGUGAUGAAGCGGUCGGCAUGCAUAGAGGGUGCACGGAUGGCUCUCGCCCGUGUCAAAACAUGCUGGGCAGAGAUGGAUGCCGCCAACGUUGCAUCCCGGGAUUCGGACAGAAGCCGAUUACCCGCCGAGCACUAUUUUGAGGAAGUCCUGCAGGGCGCUCGUUUAAUAGAGUCGCAGUGCUCGAAAAACGUUAUGUUCAAAUGACAUGUAUGAUUUAUGAGACCAUGUUUAUAAUACAAGAGCUUUUUAUACUUGUGCGUUCAAGUAUUGAAAUAUCUCCUGUGCGGCCAUUAAUGUAUAUGUAUAUAUAACCUGAAAGAUGGCCGUCUUCGGCUUCAGCCCCCACGCACAUGGUGCGGGGGUGUUUGCAAAAAAGCGCAUUUUCACACUUAAUCCAACGUCUUGGUCCUGUGAAGGAGGUGGUAGCGUAUCAAACUAGGCAACCAGACUAUAAUGCUUUAUCACUUUCACUUAGCCAUAGGAGUUCGAAGGUGAGGCUACGAUAUAGCCCCUAGGGGCACCGCGCUCUCCAAAUUCGGGGCGCGUGUGUGCCUGACCGGGAAACGGUCCUUCGUCAAAGCGGAGGAAUUCUAGACAUUCCGGUAGUCGAUCGAGUGGUUGACCAGUCUUUCACUGUAUCAUGACAGUCAGUUUUCGGCUUUCUCUACUGAGGUGCUCACCAGGCCGAACCAGGGCACAAUCGCAGUAGUUCUCCUGGUGCCGCGUUAGCCGAUAAAACGGAACGUAAGGCAGGAAAACACAGGAGCCGGGCAAACCCAACAUUUGACCAAAGACAUGAUUCGGAGCUGAUGCAUAUAAGGCCUAACUCGAGACGCCGAACACUCGCUAAGGUAUUCGGUCUUUAUGAAAACGGGCAGAACGAUGCCCUAAGCCCUUAGUGUCCAGGUACACGCGAAAUCUUCUGACGCGGCCGAUGCCAAAACGCCAGCCUCCUCCUUGGUUAUGGUAAGAAACCGGGGGAUGUGUAUCAACAAGAGACAGUAAAAAAGGUUUACGCAGGGUCUUAAUCUGAAAAGAAUCCGUGCAACGGGUCCCUGUUGCACGUCUGCGCCUGUGUCUCAGUUGUGCUGUAUCCUGGACGGGUGUAGCACGUUGCUCAUCUGUAAAAGAGAAGAACUUAGUUUGAAAAAAGAUCGUGCGAAAAAUGUAUAUAAAAAAGAGUAUGAUGUAAGAAAUGAAUAAAAUUGAGAUUUAUUGGCUCUCAUUCUUCGUUCGUGCAGCCCCUUGUAAAGGGGUACGCGGCUAGGAAGCCCCUUGUUUAUUUAUACCGGACUCGCCUAAUCGUGUCCGAGGUCUGAAUGACCUGUUUUAGGGGCUUUCAUCAGCAAGGCCGGAUUAGUGUGUGGCUGUCAAGACAGUCUCACGUUCUUCCGUGGUCGAGGAACACUCGAAAUUACCCUUUAAUGAGAUGAUGCCGCGUGGACCAGGCAUUUUAAGUGUAAGAGACGCGUAAUGCGGUAUUGCGUUAAAGCGGGCGAAAGCUUCGCGUCCCAAUAGUGCUUGAUGGCUACUUUUAAAUGGGGCGAUAUGGAAGAUUAGCUUUUCGCGACGGAAGUUGUCGGAUGAUCCGAACACAACUUGUAGUAGUAAGGAGCCCGUACAAUUGGCGUAAGGACCUGGCGUCACUCCUUUAAAGGAAGUGCUGCUAUGGAGAAUUUUGGUGGGGUCUAUCCCCAUUCUGCGGAUGGUGUCCUGGUAUAGCAGGUUUAUAUUACUGCCACCAUCCAUUAGGACUUGUGUAAAUUGUAGUCCGUCAAUUAUAGGAUCCAAUAUCAAAGCAGUCCAUCCUACGUUUCGAAUACUUCUGGAGUAAUCCUGAUGGUCGAAAGUAAUUGGUUUUGACAUCCAGUUUCGGGACUCUGCUGGGGUGGACCGUGCGGCGCGUACUUUAGUAGGUGCCGCCCUAUUUUUACUUGUUAUCACUUGAAGUGAAUUCACUGUUUUGACUUCUUGUGGGAAGUUCUUUUGUUUUCCGGCGCUCUGCUUGUGGGGUUCGUCAUCGUCCUCGCUUGGUGUGUCGAGCCCCUUGUGUUCGGCGUUAAGUCGGCCGGACUGCUUGAAGACCCAAUAAUCUCUGUGGGUAUGGUUUGCAGGCUUCCCGGGGGUACUGUGGAUUUGACAUAUCAUAUCCAAGAUUUUGUUUAGGUUGGAUAGCUCGUCACUGUUGUCUUUAAGAGGCAGUGUUUUGCUGUUCGGACGAGAGCUUUUGAACCCGGCGUUGACUGCCGUGCUCUUUAGGCCAUUUUCCUUAGUCCGGCCUGAUCUUUUCUGCGUCGUGAUUUCCUAUUUCCAUCCCUGACUUCGGAUGUACUCAGGUCGCUGGUGCUGCAUCUUGCCAGCCAUCUAUCUUCUCCCGCGCAAAAGCGGGUCAUGAGGCUUGUUAGCGCGGCCAUUGUCCUUGGCUUUUCCUGGUCGAGGUGUCUGGCGAGCCAUUCGUCUCGGACGUUAUGUUUAAAGGCUGCUAAGGCUUCGGCGUCCGGACAGUCGACUAUUUGGUUCUUUUUGGUGAGAAACCUGUUCCAGAAUUUGCGGGCUGACUCUCCGGGUUGUUGAGUUAUGUGACUUAAAUCGUCUGCAUCUGGAGGCCGGACAUAAGUCCCCUGAAAAUUUGCCCGGAACGCAUCCUCGAGCUCCUCCCAACUUCCAAUUGUAUUUUCUGGGAGGCUUUUGAGCCAAUGCCGGGCUGGCCCUUUGAGCUUGAGGGGUAGGUAUUUUAUGGCAUGGAGAUCAUCUCCUCUAGCCAUAUGUAUGUGUAGGAUAUAAUCCUCAAUCCAGACUCCGGGGUCUGUUGUUCCGUCGUAUGCCUCUAUGUUUACGGGCUUGAAUCUCGCUGGAAAUUCAUGAUCCAGUACCUCAUCGGUGAAACAUAGGGGGUGUGUGGCGCCCCUGUAUUUAGGUGUACCGUUAUUUUCAAACACUCGACGUGUUGUGUUGCUCCCUGGAGCCUUCUUUAUUGGCCCAUAGAUGGACCUGACUGGGCCAUCCUUUUUACGGGGAUCCUUAUGUGGAUCGUGUGCCGGCUUGUGUGCGGCGCCGCUUGCCGCUCUUAGCUUGUCAUCUAGUCGUCUAUCCGACCAGGCGGCCUCUUUGUUUUUUACUGUGGGGGCUCUACGACCUCCUCGUCAAAUUCGGGCAACAGCUUGCGCUUCGGGUAGCUCUUUGCUUGGUGACUAUCACCGUAUUUAUCUGCGGUCUUGAGUACUUUACGUCUUCUGCUGUUUUGAGCUUCCGCUUCUGCUUCUUCAAACUUCUUGCAGUGGCGACGAGCCUUUUGUGGAGGUCUUUAUGCUCCGGUGAUGUGUCCGGCGUGAGAUCGUCUGGACCGUUGUUUUUGCCGGGGAUGGGUUGCUCGUCCAACUCAUCCUGUUCGGACGGUUGCUUGGUGGCAUGUUUGUCGUCUACUAGUUCGCCCUGCUCUACGGCUGGGUCUGUAUGGGUGCUGUUAUUGUCGAGGCGGAACUUCGGGCGGCGCUUGCGUCACCGUUUUGGCUGUUUUUCGGGGGAAUAAUCCUUCGCCGCGUCACGUUGUUCCUCGUUAUCGCUUCCUUUUGUUGUAUCCACCAUGUAUACAUCGUGAGUUGAGGUGGCUUUCUAGUGCCCUGUGGGCGCUGGUUCUUGGUCGUCUCCGGCAUCGUCGUCCAUACCAUCGUUGUCUUCGGAGUCGAAAUCUAGCAUGUCGGUUAGGUCAUCGAGUGGCUACAAAGUGGGUGGUGGGUGGGCUUUGAAUUUCUUUCUUGUCCGCAUCCCAACCGUCCUGACCGUAGUCCAGCCAGGGCUCCCCUGAUAAUGAGAGAUACUUUAGCGAAUUCAGGAUGUCGCCAAAAGGCGAGUGCUGAAAGAUGUCCGCAGCAGUGAACUCCAUGAUCGGCGCCCAAUCGGAUUCGAUUGGAAGGGGCGCGGGAGGUUCGGAGUCCGGCGAGGAGUCCGGCACCUUGGAGUCACGAGGUUCACGAGGGACAGGGUUGGUAUUCGGCUCCAUCGCCGUAGAGGUAGCAGCCCCCGAGGCGGUGUCUAGCCACUCAUCCUCGAUCGGCGCAGUCGGCUCCAAGUUAAGGGUCGGAGUGGACUCUCGUGCGGCCUCCAGGGCACUGUCCGGCAGCAGAGCUAGAUCAUGCCCAUCGUGACAGUGCGGCGUGCUCGGCUCUGCUCGAGUCCGUCAAAGAUCAAUUCUCCGUGGAUGUCGGCCGUAUAGUUCAAACUUCCAAAUCUGACCUGAUGGCCAGGGGCGUAGCUUCCGAUCUGCUCCAGAUGGCCAAACGAAUUGGCCCGCAGUGCAAAGCCGCCGAAUACGAAGAUCUGUCCGGGGAGAAAAGUCUCACCCUUGGCCGCGUCGUUGUUGAUGAUCGAAGGAGCCAUCGGGCCUAUGAGUGACGACACAGAGGAACUCUCAAUGAAAGCACCAAUGUCGGUGUCAAAACCGACGGAUCUCGGGUAGGGGGUCUCGAACUGUGCGUCUAGGCGGAUGGUAACAGGAGACAAGGGACACGAUGUUUUUACCCAGGUUUGGGCCCUCUCGAUGGAGGUAAAACCCUACUCCUGCUUGAUUGAUAUUGAUGAUAUGAGUAGUACAAGAGUGGAUCUACCACGAUAUCAAGGAGGCUAAACCCUAGAAGCUAGCCUAUGGAAUGAUUGUUGUUCGUCCUAUGGACUAAAACCCUCCGGUUUAUAUAGACACCGGAGAGGGCUAGGGUUACACAGAGUCGGUUACAAUGGUAGGAGAUCUACAUAUCCGUAUUGCCAAGCUUGCCUUCCACGCCAAGGAAAGUCCCAUCCGGACACGGGACGAAGUCUUCAAUCUUGUAUCAUCAUAGUCUUGGAGUCCGGCCGAUGAUGAUAGUUCGGCUAUCCGGACACCCCCUAGUCCAGGACUCCCUCAGGUACGUAGACAUACUCUCCCCCUCGUUGCUAUGCAUCUCUAUGGAUAGAUCAUUGCGUGUGCUUAGAAUUUUUUUUGCUUUCCCAUGCAAUGAUUCCCAACAAUGGGAGAGGAAUGGCACCCUCACUCGGUGUUGCAUCCUCCUGAUGAUGGUUCGGAAAACUUGACGCUGCUGCAGGUGGGAGGACAAGAUGGUGGUGGCUAGAGGGAGAUGAAUGGCGUUGCUAUGGUUGUUGCAUCCUUCGUCGGGAGAAGAAUGGCCGGCAGGAGUUGCAUCCUCAAGGAGACGAAUGGCGUCGUGCUUGGUUGCAUCCUUCUGAUGGGAUAAGAACGGCGCCGCUGCGGGUUGCAUCCUCCGCCCAGUGGAGGACGCGGAUGCAAGGUUAGAAGCAUGUUGAGCUUGCCGGGGAUGCGUGGAUUGCUGUGGAGGCAGGGGUAGUGGCCUGUUGUGUAGGCUGAUCGGAUCCAGGGCUCAAACUGUGUAGGUGAGAUGGUCGACGAAAGUGGUACUCCGGUUGUGGCCGGAGUAGUCGAUGGCGCCUUCUGGCGUCGCUCCCUCGCUAGAGGCGUCGAUGUAGCUGCUCCCACCUUACCUUUCCUGCCGUGCUUCGGGGGAAACCCUCGAUCUAGUUUAGACCAUACGAUGACGGCGCUAUCCGGCGUCACGUUCCUCUUGGGGGCAUUGUCCUGGAGGUGGAUCCGGUCAGAGGGAUCUCUGGGUCGUGUGGAUGUGUGUGUGUUGUUUGCCAAAAGGCGAUGUUUGUAUGGUUUUGGGUCUGGUUUUCCUCAUAAACUGGACCAAUCUUCUUCUCCUGUUCAAUGAAUUUAGCAGUAAUGCUAACAUUAAAAAAAUACACGAGAUAGAGGAGGAUUGGGAUCUUAUACACCUCGUAUUUCUGUAUGGUUAUUGUUUUUACAUAUAAGUUGUGUGCAUAGUCUAAAUCAGGGGACAUAAGAAAUAAUGUGGAUGUUCAAACGAUUAGCUAGUACAUCUAUGUUUGCUUGAAGGAUGUAACGCGUAAUUGCCUGCUGAUGCCAAAUGGUAUAACAAAUUUGCACUCUAGUGAAUUUUGAAUACAAAUCCUAUUUCCUAGAGUGCAAAACUGCACAUGCAUCACAUACAUUGCAACACGUGCAUGAAUAAAAGGGGAUGUAUCUAGAAUAAAAGGGGAUGUAUCUAGAUGUAUAGAUAUAUCCUCUUUUAUUCAUUUUGAUGACAAGUAUUUCCAGACGGAGGGAGUAUAUUUAUAUAAUUAACCACUAGCAAGUAGGAACACAUCCGCUAGAGUCGUGCUAUGCACAGGACAAAUUUUGAACGAUUCACACACGAAGAUUGAAUACUGCUGGACAUGCAUAUGAGUGAGAAGGGCACUAGCCGCUGGAUUUGCAUGUUGUGCACAACUCGGGCACAAGUAUCGUUUGUGGAGCAGUUUCACAUUAGCUAAUGGCGCAUCAUACUAGUCCACGUUUAAACAGGGCAACCCUACAAAAUUGGUGUGCUACAUAUAUAAGACUUACAUACACAACAGUAGCAUGCAUUAUCCAAAAGAGCAACAUCCUAGUGUAAUCCUCCAGGGCGGGGAGCCUCUGCUCAUCGUCAUAGCCAUACAUGAUGCUGACCAUCCUUGCAAAGUUGAGAGACGCCCCGAUGAAGCUAGGUGGUAGUGUGGACUUUGUCUGAGAGAAGCAUUCCCUGUUUAGAUCCUCCCAUUCACCCGCUAUCAUAUCCAACAUGUGCUUCUCCGCAUCAGCAUGAGGGUUUUCUCUCUGGUACAAAUCCUUGUAUGAUCCGUCGAGCCCUUCCUGCAACUCAUCCUGCAUGGGACACAUAAUUUCUUUUUAGAUCAUGCCUAAUAUUGUCAAUGUCAACUUGAAUGCACACCCAGCAGGAUAUGGUAUGAAAUAACUCAUGUAAAUAAUUAGUAUUACUAAUCACAUAGUCGUGCGAUAAAUUUCUCGGUGUGUUCUGACCUUCGCACUCCCCAUGUUAUCCCAGAGCCUCAUGAUCUUUGCAGGGCAGGAGAUGACCCUAAGGAUGUGGUCGUUGUUGUCCUCUGUUAAAUCAUGCCCAAGCAUGAAUAAAAGAUGCAUAAAUAAAAGUGGUGCUCCCGAAGUGAUGACACCAUUUCUUAGGUAGUCCUCCGAUGUAGGAACCUGAUUAGUAGAUAGCCAUUUUCCCUCGAUCAUGAAUCCAUCAAACAAAGUUGCCCACUGCAAGACAAAAGGCAUGAAUGUAAUAUUAAUUCUUCCAUUGUUAUUUUCUUAUAUUUUAUUUCAUUACAAUUAAUCACAAAUUAUAUAGUACACAUAAAUACGUGAGGUGGUACUUUUAAUAUAUUUAUUAGUUGCUUAGACAAAUGAAACUAAAGAAAAUGAAAAAACAUUCGAGUAGACAUACUGCUUGCUUGAGAUGAUUGAUAGGAUUCAGUCCACGCUCUUUUAUGACCAUAUCAGCGAUAUCAUUUGUGAUGGUGUAAAGAGCCUUGUAACAUGAUAUCAUGUAACUCGGCAGUGACUCAGCAGCUGCAAGAUAAUAUGCACUUUGCGCGUGAAACUUUUGUAAUAAUUUUUUUAUAUUAUGUGUUCAUGUAUAAGAUCGUGACUAACCAAUGAGUUUGAUUAUACCAUUAGCAAAAAUAUGCCAUUCUGGGUAUAAGCAGCCUUGAGUAUGCAAUGAUUUCUCUUUUUGUAUGAAUGAUUAUAAAGCUAUUAGUAUAUCAAGAUAUUUCUCGCAGAGGCCUAAUGUUUAUGUCAAACCAAUCCUAAUACCUCUUUAUACAUGAUGUGUCAAAAUUAUAGAAUUUUUAGUGUGCAAUUAGACAUAUCUAAGAUGUCAUUCAUUUACAAACAAAUGUAAUUAUACUUCAUUCCUAAAAUUCAAUGUUGUUGUUAUUACGGGAACAUCAAUGCUCACAUUUUGAUUGCCUCAUUAAAGAGAGAGAGAGCUCCUCCUGUGUGGCGACAAGAUCAAAGAUGUCAUCCACAAUGUAGACCAUUGAGAUAACCUUUGUGGCAUCAACCCGAUAUCUUGAGAAGGAGAAACCCUCGAGGAUAGUCAUGGACCACAUGUACCAUUUCAGAACUUGGUCCCUUGCAGCUGGAAUUUCUUGAGACAAUCCCAAAUCCACCCACCAUCUGUGUCAAAAUGAAGUUUUCAUAGUAAAAAACCACCACACCGUUAAUUGUGCCAAUACAUGAGCAAAAAAAUAUGUUAAUCUAUUAAUUCCAUGUGAGUUCUCUCUUAUCAAUAUGCAGGUGGGCCAAUGUCCGCAACAACUAAUAAUGGAAGGAGUGUAUUUUAUUAUAUUCAUACCUCUUAACCUCUUGCAUUCCACUUUGAUGUUGCAACUUCUUCAUCUGAAAUUCUACAAGUGCUAGCUUCUCAAUUGCAGUGUGCAUGGUAGGCAAGUUCUGGAGGUAACUCAAAUGAUGCCUAGCCUUGUAUUGCUUCAGGCUCACAUGGUAGGGAUGGUCUAGUGACUUCAUCACAUAUCUCGCAAGGUUUGGCUCCAAAUACUUAAGUGAAAAUUUCAGGUGCUUGCUUGAGAAUUCCUUUGCCUUGUAGAGUGAAGCUUCUCCCAUGUUGAGGUGUGACAUGUCAUGCAAGCUCAGCAACCCUCUAAGGUCUUUGCUAUGCCUAAGGUUGAAAUCACCAUUAUCAUUUGUGAACUUCUGAAGAACAUCGUCUUCCAUACACCACAAGAAGGGGUCUUAGGUGCAUGUCAUACAUAAUGAAAAUAAUACGUCUCAUAAGAGGUGCUUCUAUGCUACACACGGGACUGUUCUUUUUUAUUAUUAAACUUGGUUACUCUAAGGCUAAUUUAUUAUUAGCAAAAUUAUCACAUAAAAUCACCAUUGACAAAAUUGCACUCAAGUUUCCAAACUGGUGUGUUUAUCUAACCCAACACACUAAACUAGUAUUUUACUGACCUGCCGAAACAUAAUAUCCAACUUCUCUCAUCAGCCUUAAGGAAAGGGUUGCGUCAAGUAGAUCAUCACCAUGGAGGAGAUCCACAGACGACUCCAUUAUGUUAUCGAUUUCAUCCUGGAAAUAGUGGUCAAUGCAGAGGCGUUUGAGGUGAUCAACCGUGCUCAACAUUCCUUUGUUGCUUUUCGGAUGUUGAUGAAGCAACGCUUGAACAUUCAAUAGGCUUUCCCGGUAUUGCACAUAGAGCAAACUUCUUUUUAAAAAGAACAAAGUCUAGAUAAGUGCAAUAUAUAUCAUAUAUUAUUUGCAUUCAACAAUUGGCGAUAUCAUAGGAAAAUAGUGCAUCUAAUGUAGGUUUAUAUUUUAUUAACAUAGUUGAGAAAUUAACAAUAAAAGAUAGAGAUUGAAAUUGUGCUCAUUCCAGAAACAUCAUAAAUUAUUUAAUGAAACACACAUUUUCUAUGCCUCGCUGGUUCCUGAAGAGGAGUCAUUAUUCAAAGUUAUCUUGAAAAGGCAAUCCAUGAAUUGCUAGACUGUGGUUAUAAGAUUCUUGAGGAAGGAUUAAAUUUUUGACUCGAUUUAUACGACAUCAAUUUAGGGACGGAGACAGUAUAAUUAGCUGGAAAAAGGCACACAAACAUGCUAAUUGCAUUCAAAGUACAUUCUAAUGUUGCGGUCUAUAUACCUGGAAGUAUGUUUGUACCGUAAAAAUAUAUACCUGGAAGUCAAAAUCAUCGGACAGCUCAUGGGACACAGGCUCCCGCCCGGGAUAUAUCACCGGCGAAGGGCGAAAGAAGCCACUGUUUCGGCCACUCUGGCCACCACUUCUGGCCACCGGCAAAGCCGAAUGGAGCAAUGGCGCGAAGGAGGAGAAGGAGAAGCAUGCAUGCGCAGCAGCCAUCACUAGCCGACUAGCGUACUUAAAUAAUGUGAUGUGUGUUACAGCUGAUCGACUAGGCAGGCUACCUAAUUAAUUAGGUAACUAACUAGCAUGGAUGAUAUGGGAUGAACAAGAGUACGUAGCAGGCUGCUGCUUCUGCUAUGUCUUGGGAUGGAUGGGGGAUAUGAGCAAUGCAUGCAUGCCCUCCAGAUUUAUAGAGGAGACGAGGUUGAGCAAUGCCGCGUCGAUCCUCCACCGAGUGGCGAGCCAUGUGGAAAAUUUACUACUAAACGUCAUGCAUGCGCUAAUCAAGUUUAGUUUUUCGUCUAGGGCUAGUGCACCAUGCAUUCUUUGUUUGGAGAGUGAACCAUGCAUGCACCACGCACCAUGCACCUUGCUCUGCACUCUGAUGUCUAGUCUGGUCGUCGUUAGGAGACAAAUACCGCGACAUCGUUCGUGCACACGGUUUCUCCCUGCACUGCACCCACAAGAGCCACACACGUAAGUAGUACUACUCUAUAUAGCUAUAUUUGUACGUCCAGCCACGUGAACGUCCAGCCACACACGUAAGUACUCUGACACCUGGACAAAAGGGUCUAGGUAGUAGAGGGGGCCAUCGAAAGGUCUCCAGAUUGACCAGUUUUCCAACGGUUGCUGCCUGUCAAGCUCACGACAAUGUAAGUAUGACAUGCAUGCACAGUAGCUAGCUACUAAUAGAGCGGUCAAAAAACAUUUACCCCACCUCCACACCCCCAAAAUGUAAAGUGUGUGUACAAUACAACGACUGGUACAGCUUCCAUUGUCUCGUGUGUAAGUGACGCUUUCUCGAAUUCUUGGGUUAAAUUGUUACUUUUGGUUGUUACAUACAAACGCACUGUUCAGCAACGUAACAUUGAUGUUGAACGGAAGAUAAGCGUGAAAAAUAGAAAAAGGGACAGAAAGGAUGGAGUCUUCACGGAGACUGGUGGCCCCGCAAUGAGUCAAAGCUCUAGAUUCAGUGUAUCUCUCAGCACCUAAAAGAAAGUUUUUAUUCAACACGAAACUGUAUUUCUAGACAUUUAUCGACCUGAAGUUAGCUUUCUUACAAAUUUAGAAAAACACUCAGUUAUGUCCAUGUCAGCCGCAAAAAAAUUAUACUGUUGAUGCAUCUUUUACGUUAUUUCUCUUAGAAAGCAGCCUAUAGGUAUAUAUAGAAGACAACCUACGUACUACUGAACCACUGCUGCCAUUAUCAACUUUGACCCCCAGCUGAACCAUGCAUGCACAGUAGCUAGCUACUAAUAGAGCGGUCAAAAAACAUUUACCCCCCAGAAUGUAACAUGUGGGUGUACAACGACUGGUACAGCUGGCAUUGUCUCGUGUGUAAGUGGUGCUUUCUCGAAUUCUUGGGUCAAAUUGUUAUUAUUUACUUUUGGUUUGUUACAUAGAAAGAGCACUGUUCAUCCACGUAAAAUUGAUGUUGAACAGAAGAUAGACGGGAAAACUAGAGAAAGGGACAGAAAUGGCGGAGUAUUCGCGGAGACUCAUGACCCAAAUGCGUCAAUGGCCCGGUGAAUCCCUCAGCACUGCUUCAUUACCAACCUACAGAAGGGUCUUUUUUUUAGAAGAGAGGCGUCACGCCUACAAAAGGGAUUGAUCAGCCCACUUAAGUGAAUAUACCACUUCACAACCUAAAAAAUAAAGAUUUUCUUCGACGUGAAUUCAUAUUUCUAGCUAUUUAUCGAUCUGUAUGUAGCUUUCUUACAGUCUUAGAAAAACACUUAAUUAUGUUUAUGCUGUCCAUGUCACCCGCAAAAAUGUUAUACCGUUGAUGCAUCUUUUAACAGUCUUUCUCUUAGAAAGCAGCUUAUAGCUAGAAGACAUCCAGGUGGGUAGUAUUUCACGCUCUCUCAACAUUAUGAAAUAGUGGUACAAAUAUAGCACCAAGUUACACCACAAAAAGUCACCAUCGAUAUCUGGUAGGAGCAUGCCACCAAAACAAAGAGAAUCUCGUAUCAACGAGAGAUUUUCCAUAUCUGAGGAAACAAACAUGUAGAGGAGAGUGACCUUUCACUACGAGGAAACAAACACUAGUAGGUUCAUGCUAUUCGGUACUAACAUUAACGACGAAGAAUAAAUUGUUACUUUUCCACACCUUUUCUACUUAUACGUCAUUGCAUACGUUGGAAGUCAAAAAGAACAUAAGAAAACGUGUAGUAUAAACUGAUAAAAUUGUAUACGUGGCAUAAAACUGCAAACGUAAAAAUAUGACAUAAAAUAUAAAUAUAGACAUUUUUUUGUGGUUUUACAUGGUUAUGACUUGUAUCUUGCAUUUCUGAUGCCGAUUUUUCAUCAGGGGUCAGGAUUUAUGUAACUAUUUGUAUAUUCUAUAUUUCUGAUGCCGAUUUUUCGUCAGGGGUCAGGAUUUAUGUAACUAUUUGUAUAUUCUAAAUGCAAUGACGUACCAAAAUCAUGGUUCGAAAGUAACGUAUUCCGGACCCUAGGCACUGAACAGCAUUUGGUGUGCGUAUGCGUUUGCUGCUAUAUUUUGUAUCAGUUGAUGGUGAUCAUGGGAUAAUGUGGAACUUGACCCUAAGAAACUUGAGUGGCUUACUAGGGAAUUUAUGUCCAGAUUUGGAUUGUGUGCUGUCAGUAGACUUCAUACUGCUGAAAUCUUCUCAUUGUAGCCUGUCACACUUUUAUAAUCUGGCUACAUUUUUUGUGACCAUACAUAUUAAGUUUGUGAUAAGUGCGUUGGUUAUAUACAUUCUUGAUACGGAGAGCGGAGAUGAUAAGAACUUCCUUCUAGAAUUAUAUAUCAUGGGGUCGCUAGCUAGAUGGUCCGAACGGAUAUUUCCCAGAAACCACAAAUGUACACGACAUUGACAUCGAGUGAUGUUUUUACUUUCUAGCUAUUGACAAGCUGGCAAUGCACUUGUGGAUCUCAAGUUGUCGUCUCACGUACAGACAUGAGAGACCGUGUGAUGAAGUAUCGUGACAUAUAUACAUGUAUGGUCGUCAUGCAUGAAGUAUCCGACUAGCUAUGUACUACGUGUGAAAAGUAUUAUUUGGCUGGACACAACAAGAGUCGCUGCCUCAGCUAUGUUGCUGUCUGGAGAGCCUGUUGGUUCAACGAAUUACUUCUGAGAUUGGCUGCAGUUCGGUCAGUGACCUAGCUAUCAUCACGUACAGGCUCACCCGAGUCCCUGGAUUCAUCAAAACUUUUGGCCAUCUCCGCCUAGCUGGGCCCCAAGAUGAAGCUCCGCCCUCUGGGGCCGGCUGGCUCAGCGGCCGGUUGCCAGAGGGCGGCCGUCCCAAGACUGCAGCGCUCCGGGUGGCCGGCUCCUAGCGGCCGCCCUCCAGAGAGGGCGGUAACAGGCAAGCAGCCACCACACGACUACGGGGCGACCGAGCUCCCAUCAAGAGUACAAGACGAAGCAUGGCUACAGUGAGGAACGACGCCUCCCACGCUCGAGACGGGCGUGGCUACAGUGCUCCGUACAGACGGAGAUCUCCGCACGACGGAGCACUGUGCCGUAUCUACCCUGACGUCGCUCCGGGCAGGCGGAGCCCUGUUCACCACGACGGCCUGUCGGUACGGCAGGCCAGAGGCGGGCCCUAUCGGGCAGUGACCCCAGGGAAGACGGCGGAAGCUCAACCAGGCGGAUUAGAGAGGGGCCAGCCUCCAGCAGGCGGCCGUCCCUUGUCCCGAGACGAGCACGCCAUUAAGCUGAUAAGACCAGGUGUGGCUACAGUGUCCUCCCACCAGGCGGCGGGACUGUAGCCACGCUAGGAUGACCAAGCCCCCACCGCCAACGACACGGCUACAGCGAGCAGCCGCCAAUCAGUCGGUGGGGCCCACCAGGCGGCGGGCCCCAGCGGUCGACGGAGAAGCCGGAGGCUGGAGACACUGACAGCCGGGCCCAGCGGCCGGCGAGGUUACCAUUGUACCCCUGGGGGGUAGGCCUAUAUAAACCCCCCAGGCCACCCAUGCAAAGGGUUCCCACACCAUUAGAACUAGCCACCCCCUAGUGCAGGAAGAGAGCUAGCCUUGCCACCUUCUGCGUCUAGCAUACAGCUCGAGGAGCACCAUUGUAUCACUUGUGCCUUAGUGAUCAUGCGGAGACCUCGCAGAGUAGGACUAGGGGUGUUAUCUCCUAGGAGAGCCCCGAACCUGGGUAAAGUACGCCGGCGUUCGUGUCUACGCCUUAUCCCGCUUCCAGGCACCGGCGACGUUCUACUCGCUUCCACCAUGAUAAGCCAUCCAUUGGCAUAUGUCGCACCCAACCCCCGACACCUCAACCACUUCGAGAAAAUUAUGCACGCCCUUAAUGUACUCGGAGGUGUGUCUAUCACCAUACAUCCAUUGCCGGUUCAUCUGCGUGCAUUAUAUAUAAUUAUGUGUGUCAAAAGUAAGAAAAUCAGACAAAUAUCUACCUAAAGUAAGAAAAUCAGACAAGUAUCAGAAAGAAGAUAAGAACAAGAGACUCCCCACUGUGGUGCCGGCGACGAGAUCGGCGCGGGCGAUCAACGGCGGUGAAAACGGGGACGGGGCGUGACGAACCGCUAAAUCUAGACAAAUCUCGAAAAAAAUGAAGCUCCGAGGUCGAUCUUCGAGAGGAGAAAGCUUAACUAGUGUGGCUCGGGCAUUUCAUCGAACACCUCAUGUGCAUAGGAGGUGAACUAGAGCACCAAAAUGCCCUCUCAUCGCCGGAUUGAAAAAACAUAGCACUGGAGUGCUCUGCCGCGGCGGUGGGUAUAUAUAGGCAAGUUAUUUGUCCUGGUUCAUGGCAUGAACCGGGACUAAAGCACCCCCUUCUGUCCCGGUUCAAGCCAUGAACCGGGACCAAUGGUUGUGGGCCAGGAGCGAGGACCAUUGGUCCCGGUUCGUGGCUUGAACCGGGACAAAUGGUUCCACACGAACCGGGACCAAUACCCACGAGGCCCCGGCCGUCCCCCUGGGCUCACGAACCGGGUCUAAUACCCCCCAUGGGUCCGAACGGUAGCCUUGUUUUCUACUAGUGUUAGUACAAAGUUAAUAGAAAGUUGGGUCAUCUAUUUCGAAACGGAGGGACUAGUAGACUUUCCACUGAGCUGAUACCGCUUUUAUGAUUGAUAUUCGUUCAAGUUAUUUCAAUAUCUAGUUUAGAAGAAUUUGAAUUCAAAAUUCAAUUGAAUUUGUUCAAAAUAUGUUUGGUAUUUCUCGGUAACCGUGGUAAUCGAGAGUAUUGCCCCCCACGAGAAAAUUUGUCCAUUCGGAAUCCAAAACCUUGGUUAUGACUUGUAUCUUGCGUUUCUGAUGCUGAUUUUUCGUUGUGAGUCUGCUUGUAUGUAAAUAUUUGUAUAUUCGAAAUGCAAGGACAUAAUAAAACCAUGGUUUGAAAAUAACUUAAUCUACACCCUACACUGUGAAAUACAUUUUGCGUGCAUGUGUGUUUGCUACUAUUCUGUAUCAGUUGACACAUUGCCCCAAGAAACUCAAGUGGCUUACUAGGGAAUUUAUGUUCUGGUUUGGGUUCCGUGCUGCCAGUGGACUUCAUACUGCUAUAUCUUCUCAGUGUAGCCUGCCCCACUUCUAUAAUCUGGUUACAUUUGUUGUGACCGUACGUAUUAAGUUUUGUGAUAAGUGCGUUGGUUAUAUAUAUAUGCAUCCUUGAUACGGAGAGCGGAGACGAAAAGAACUUCCUUCUAGAGAAACAUAUAUAUCAUGGGGUCGCUAUCUAGAUGGUCCGAAGGGAUAUUUCCCGGAAAACACAAAUGUUCUGCAUGACAUUGACAUCCAAUGAUAUUUUUACUUUUUAGCUAUUCGCUAGCUGGCACUGCACUUGUGGAUCUCGUACAUUUAUUCGAUGGUUGUCGUCUCACGUACAGACAUGAGAGACCGUGUGUGGUGAAGUAUCGUGAUAUAUAUACAUGUAUGGUCGUCAUGCAUGAAGUAUGCGACUAGCUAUGUACUACGUGUGAAAAGUAUUAUUUGGCUGGACACAACAAGAGACGCUGCCUCAGCUAUGUUGCUGUCUGGAGAGCCUGUUGGUUCAACGAAUUACUUCUGAGAUUGGCUGCAGUUCGGUCAGUGACCUAGCUAUCAUCCCUUAGACUGGCUGGAGUGGAGCCAUAUUCAAGCUUACUCUAGAAGCAAAAGCGCAUUUCGCUGCACCGUCUGUGUUCUGAUUGAUUGUACACUUGUUUUACUUUGGGCCUCUGAAUCUCCUCUGGUUUCACCUUUGUGAGUCAAAGAAAUUUCCUGUGGCGAAUUUAUAUUGCAUGAGAGAGUUUUUCUAGUGCACCAUCCAUUCUUUGUUUGGAGAGUGAACCAUGCAUGCAUAAACCUGGGAAUAGUUUGUAAUCCAAACUAAACCCAGGCCAACCAAUACAUGUAUAAGUCCAGCGAUCCAUCCAAACCAGACCAAAUUGCAAAUGCUACAAUCCAAACCAAUCCAAACUGAAUGUAUUUUCAAGCCAAAUCCAUCCAGACCUUUCUCUACGUUUAAUUUGAACCCAAAGUUUCAAACCAUGGGUCAGUCAACAACAACUGGAACAACCCCAAACUUAACCUGUAUGUACAGAACUACGAAAGGUGUGAGGCUCCUACCAACGGCGGCUAGCUUGGUGUCAGGAGCUUCAGUAUACGUGUGCGUGCACCGUAAGAGCAGAUGGCGGCGCCGGCACGGUGGCCCAUGGCCGGCUGCAGGACCUAUCCGGACGUGUGCAAGACCCUUUGGCUUCCAGAUUCUCAUCGGCUUCGUGACCAUCACCUUCGUCGGCCACAUCGGCAAGGUCGAGCUCACAACCAUCUUCAUGGUGACAGCGUCGUCGAAGGCCUCGUCUUUGAGUUCCUCGUGUUCUGCAUGGAGUUGACUAUUGUCACCAGAGAUCUCGGUGGUGGCGAGGUGGUACGUGCGCUCAUGUCACUCAUCUCAGGCGGCGGUUGCACCUAAACCAAGCGUUGGUCUCACAUUACGCUGACGGUGUGUGGUUAAACGGUCGCUAGACUGGUUUUUAUCCGUGGACUAAAACGGUCUGAGACCAAUUUAUCUCUGUCCAGACCAAACCAACCCAAUCUAUUAAUUACAAAAGUCCACACCAAACUAAAUUACGAUAGAGGCUCAAUCCAUUUCAACCGAACCAAAGCAGCCCAACAGGUAAACCAAAUUGGAACUAUGGUUCGAGACCAAACUAUUCUCAGGUUUAUGCAUGCACCAUGCACCUUGCUCUGAAGACAGAACUCUGAUGUCUAGGUUUCUCCAUGCACUGCACCCACAACUGGCAAGAGCCACACACGUAAGUACUCUAUAUACCUAUAUUUGUACGUCCUGCCAUGUGAACGUCAAGAUCUGACACCUGGAGAAAUUAAAAGGCCAGCGAAAAGUUUGCCGAUUGACCAGUUUUCAAUCGGUUGCUGCCUGUCAAGCUCACGACAAUGUACGCAUGCCACAUAUGUAACCUACUUAUACUGAACCACUGCCGGCAUUACCAACGUGACCCCCAGCUGAACUAUGCAUGCAUAUGUAGUAGCUAGCUACUAAUAAAGCGGUCAAAAACCAUUUACCCCCCUCCCCAAAUGUAAUACUCCCUCCAUUCAUUUUUACUCCACGUAUAAGAUUUUUGUCGAGUCAAACUUUUGAAACUUUGACCAAAUUUGUAUAAAAAUAUAUCAACAUCUACAAUAUCAAAAUAUACAUAAUAUGAAACUACAUUUCAUAAUGAAUCUAAAAAUAUUCCUUUGGCAUUGUAAAUAUUUGAUCCUUUUUUCUAUAAGUUUGGUCAAACUAGAGAUGCUUUAACUUCAGACAAAAGUUAUAUGCAGACUAAAAAAAAGGAGGAAGUAUUUGUGUACAACGACUGGUACAGCUGGCAUUGUCUUGUGUUUAAGUGGCGUUUUCUGGAAUUCUUGGGUCAAAUUGUCAUUAUUUACUUACUUUUGGUUUGUUACAUACAUAGAGUACUGUUCAUCCACGUAAGAUUGAUGUUGUACGGAAGAUAGACCUGAAAAAUAGAAAAAGGGACAGAAAGGAUGGAGUCUUCACGGAAACUGGUGGCUUGGCAACGAGUCAAAGCUCUAGAUCCAGUGUAUCCCUCCGCACUGCUUCAUUACUAGCAACCUACAGAAGGGACUGGUCAGGCUACCUAAGUGAAUAUAUACCAUUUCGCAACCUAAAAAAUAGUUUUUAUUCAACACGAAAUUGUAUUUCUAGCCAUUUAUCGACCUGAAGGUAGCUUUCGUACAUAUUUAAAAAAACACUCAGUUAUGUCCAUGUCACCCGCAAAAAAAUUAUACUGUUGAUGCAUCUUCUCUAUUCUUAUAAAAAAUUAAGUUGGUGAUAAGGGUGUGCCUACCAUCUUGCAAUAUAGACCGUCCGAUCUAUAUCUUACCCGCACCUCUCUCCACAUUUGCAGAUACUUCCCUCGUUCAUCCUUAUCUCUCACAACCUCAUUAUUGAGCAAUUAAAAAAGAAAGCAUCUGAAACAAUCUGGCAUGGCGGCCGCUGCCGGCGUCGUCCAUCCCCAUGCCUCCGCUCAGUCCGACGACCAAUCACCACCAGGCCCCACUCUUCAUCACCUUAUCUCUUCUCUUUCUUGAGAUAUCAUUAGUUUUACACAUGAGAUUAUUCUCACAUAGGACAAGCACAACAGGUGUUUUGUAAAAAAAGCAUCUUCAUGUCCCAUUCAAUGCACGAGCAUCUUGCUAGUUUACAUUAUUUCUCUUAGCAAGCAGCCUAUAUAUAAAAGACAACCUACGUGCUAAACCACUGGUGCCAUUACCAACUUUGACCCCCAGCUGAACCAUGCACGCAAGUGGCAAGCCACUAAUAGAGCGGUCAAAAAACAUUUACCCCCGCCCCCCCUCCCCAAAUGUAACGUGUGUGUACAACGACUGGUACAGCUGGCAUUGUCUCGUGUGUAAGUGGCGCUUUCUGGAAUUCUUGGGUCAAAUUGUUAUCAUUUACUUUUGGUUUGUUACAUACAAGAGCACUGUUCAGCAACGUAAGAUUGCUGUUGAACAGGAGAUAGGAAUAAAACAUACAACUCAAACCAAUCACGAUCAUCAAUCAACCCAUAUGAUAAAACGAAUCUAAUCAAACAUCAUAGGAUGGUCAUACAUCAUUGGGUAAUAAUAUAUAGCAUGAAGUGAUACGUCUCGAACUUAUCUAUAAUUUUUGAUUGUUCCAUGCUAUUAUAGUAUCAAUCUUGGAUGUUUAUUAUGCAAUUAUAUGUAACUAUAUCAUUUUUUGGGACUAACAUAUAAACCUAGUGCCCAGUGCCAAUUGCAAUUUUUUUUCAUGUUUUUAGCUUUUCAGGAAAUCAAUAUUAAAAAGAGUCCAAAUGGAGAAUAUUUUUUUUUGAUUAUGGACCAGAGGGGACCCUAAAAGCUUCGGGAGAAGACUUGACAAGCCACGAGGGUGCGACAAGCUUGGGAGGCGCCCCCAGGCUUGUGGGCCCCUCGUGGCACCUCUUAGCCUAAUUCUAGCACUAUAAAUUCUGAAAUAUCCCCCCUGCAUCAAAGAGUCACCCGAAAUACCUUUUCCGCCGCCGCAAGUAUCGGUUCUCGCGAGAUCCCAUCUAGAGGCCAUCCCCGGGCACUCUGCCGGAGGGGGGAUCGAUCACAGAGGGGCUCUACAUCAACCUUGCCGCUAUUCCGAUGAUGUGUGAGUAGUUAAUCACAGACCUACGGGUCCAUAGCUAGUAGCUAGAUGGCUUCUUCUCUCUCUUUGAUCUUCAAUACAAUGUUCACAUUGAUGUUCUUAGAGAUCUAUUCGAUGUAAUCACUUUUUAUGGUGUGUUUGUUGAGAUCGAAUGAAUUGUGAGUUUAUGAUCAGAUUAUCUACAAGUAUUAUUUGAGUCUUCUCUAAACACUUUUAUGCAUGAUUAUUGUACCUUUAUAUUUCUCUCCGAUCUAUUGAUUUGAUUUUGCCAACUAGAUUGAUUUUUCUUGCAAUGGGAGAGGUGGUUUGCAAUGGGUUCGAUCUUGCGGUGCUCAAUCCCAAUCCCCAUCUCCAAAUGUAACAUGUGUGUACAACCACUAGUACAGCUGGCAUUGUCUCGUGCGUAAGUGGCGCUUUCUGGAAUUCUUGGGUCAAAUUGUUAUUAUUUACUUUUGGUUUGUUACAUACAAGAGCAAUGUUCAGCAACGUAAGAUUGAUGUUGAACGGAAGAUAUACAGAAAAAAUUGGAAAAGGGACAGAAAGGGUGGACUCCUCGUGGAGACUCAUGACUCCACAAUGAGUCAAUGGCUCAAUGCGCUUGAUCCAGUGGAUCCCUCAUCACUGUUUCAUUACCAACCUACGGAAGGUUCUUUUUUCAGAAGAGAGGCGUCACACGUACAGAAGGGAUUGAUCAGCUCACUUAAGUGAAUAUACCAUUUUGCAACCUAAAAAACAAGUUUUCCGUCAACGCAGAUUUUUAUUUCUAGCUAUUUAUCGGUCUGCAUGUAACUUUCUUACAGAUUUAGAAAAACACUCAGUUAUGUUUAGGCUGUCCAUGUCACUCGCAAAAAAAUUAUACUGUCGAUGCACCUUUUGUGGUCUUUCUUGUAGAAAGCAGCCUAUAGAUAGAAGACAUCCACGUGGGUAGUAUUUCAGCUCUCUCGGCAUUAUGAAAUGGUGGCACAAAUAUAGCAUCAAGUUACACGACAAAAAGUUCCCAUCGAUAUCUCAUAAGAGCUUGCCACCAAAAGAAAGAGAAUCCCGUAUCAAUUAGAGAUUUUCCAUAUCCGAGGAAAUAAACAUAGAGAGUGACCUUUUACUAUGAGGAAGCAGACAGCAGUAUGUUCAUGCUAUUCGGUACUAACAUUAACGGCGAGGAAUUAAUUGUUACUUUUCCACACCCUUUCUACUAAUACGUCAUUGCAUACGUUGGAAGUCAAAAAGAACAAAAGAAAAUGCAUUACUAUACACUAAUAAAAUUGUAUACGCAUCCUAAAAUCACAAACGUAAAAAGACAACACAUAAAAUGUAAAUAAUGACAUUUUUUGGUAUGGUUUACAUGGUUAUGACCAAGGUUUUGGGUACUGCCAAAAAAUCUGGAUACCGGGCGGUAUGCGCGUUUCUCGACGCUCCACAAGAAAUACCCAUCCCAAGCAAAAAAGAUAAAAAAUACAUUUUUUAAAAUUUAGUAAAACACUCUACCUCGCAGUUACAUCAACAUUCUUAGUUGUGGUGUCGUGGUAACCUACUCUUUUGUGCCUCGAGAGGUAGCUGGUUGGAGUUGCCUUCUUGCACUUUUUUUUGUUCAUUUCUCAGAACUGGUAAGUAAGAAAAGUAAAAAUAAUAAUGACCCAAAGAGUCGUACUCGCAACCUCAAACCGCUUAGCACGCACUCCCUCCGUUCCAAAAUAGAUGACUCAACUUUGUACUAACUUUACACUAGUAGAAAACAGGCAUUUGUCCCGGUUCGUAAGGGCCUUUUGUCCCGGUUUAAGAACUGGGACAAAAAGGUCGGUACUAAUGCCCUCCCCCUUUAGUCCCGGUUCUUACACGAACCGGGACAGAUGGGCCUCCACGUGGCCACUGCGGGCAGCCCAGACAAGGGGGCCUUUGGUCCCGGUUGGUGACAUGAACCGGGACCAAAAGGCUUCCACGCGUCAGCAGCUGGCUGGAGCUGAGGUUUUUCUUUUUUUAAAAAAAAAAGUGGCUGGUUUAGGGGUUUUGGGGUUAAUUUAGGUUGUUAUUAGAUAGCUAAUAGGGAGAAGUGUCCUCUCUUAUAUCUUCGUCCUUGGUUUACCAACGCUACUGCUAUGUUCAUUUCACCCGCUGAUAUAUAAUAACUCAUGCUCGCAUCAUACAUCAUCAUAUAUAAUAACAAGUCCUACUAAUCAUGCAUCAUCAUACAACUUCUACUUAGUAUUAAUACUAAGUCAUACGAUCAUCAUCCUCAUAGUCAUCGAACCCAACCCUACAUAAUUGUUCUUAGCACAUGAUCAUCAGUGUCAGAUAGGACCUAAACACCCUUAAGGUAAAAUAGCAUAAACAAUAUAGACCCUGACUCUCCAUUAUGGAGAAUGGGGAUCAUCCUAUCUCCAAUUAUUGCGCUUCACUUCCUUUUGCUUCCAAGAAGCUCCUUACGACUGUCCAUACAUUUUUUCCAUUCUUUGAUUGUCAUGUCUCCACUUCUUUUAGAAAUCCGGUAUGGACAGUUGAGAUUCGUAGGAUGACCUGGUUGUAUGUUCAAAACAUCAAGGCGACCGUGCACAUACAUCAGAUGAGGCACACAAUCAUUCGGGAUUAUCUGUUAAAAAACAUAGUAAUAACUUCAUAGUUAGCAAUGAUGUACUAAUUUUAGAAGUAUGUAAAAAGAUGCACGAAUGUCGUAAUAGUAAAAAAUCUUUCCAGGGUAUCUCCAUGGUAGUUACCGUAGUUCACACGUGCACUAGUGGCACGUAUUGACCAUAAUGUUGAGGAGUUCGAUUGUAGAUAUUGUAAUUCUCAAGAUCAGUACAAAAUGCGAUCAGAUGAUUUUUCUCCUUAUAAGUUAAUUCAGAGCCAUCGGUGUAGUGGGUUUUGUCUACCAUCUUCCGCACAUUCUUUGAAGAAUGAAAAUAAGCUGUCAAUGGAAAUAAGCUAUCAACUAUUUCGAAAUAAACAAUAUAAAUUACUUAAAAACUAUGUUUGAGAAGCUCACAUAGGGGGAGAAUUGGAAGUGUAUCCACAAGAACCCAAAUGUCCAUAUUGUCUUGCUCGAUUGUAGGAUCACCAAGAUCAAUGAUGACAAGCAUACCCUCAUCAAAACCAUACAUCUUGCAAAGUGCUUCUCAAUUUUUGCAACCAAAAUGGGUUACACUCUCAGCAUUGUACAACUUUACUUCAAAAUCCACACCAUGAUGGGUCCUUAGGUGAAUUUUUUGGUUUCCAUACUUUCAUGGUCUUCAAAACCCAUCCUCUCCAAGACAUAUCGUCUUGCAUAGCAUGGGAUAAGCUAGUCGAAUUGGAAAAGAUGAAAAAUACACGUUUAAAUAGUUGAAGUCGUGCUUAAUUACGAAAAAAACUAUUGUCGUCGUUGCGUAUCGUAUGAACAUCGAAGGCCUCCUCGAGCCUAAUGCUGAAGCGCCGAUCUUCGUCUAGCUCAAGGAACCUGUCGCACAUACCUCGGUCGUCGUGGCACUAGUCGCACUCCCCCGAGCGAUUUUCGUCGUCCGAGUACGACAUUUCCGGCCUAUGUUCAUGAUUCAAAUAUUAAACUUGUACAAUUAAAUAUAUGUACUAAAAAACCUAAAUUAGAUCAUUAUUAUUAUUAUCGGGUUGACUAUCGGGAUUAUUACACCAAAUUGUCUAGCACACGGGAAUGAAGGAGAAGCUACCCCCACGACGGCGUGGAUGAUGGAGGGGGCUCCUAGAUUUCUGCAUAGAGUGCUCCUCAAUUUUAGCAUUCAAAGUAGGAGUACUUUUCCAAUAUGAGCAUUCAAUAAGCAAAACCAAAUCGUAAAAAAAAACAGUAUUCCAAUUAGCAUGCAUUCAAUUAUAACCAAAAGUACAUCAUCUCUUGUGUCCGUACAUCGUCAAAUAUUAUCACUAAUACUCCUCGAAUAAUAUCAUACAUAUAGCAUCACUAAUACAACUAGAACCGUAGCGCCCGACGGGUAUCGUCGCGGGCGGUGGACAUCCAAAGAUAAGGAACCAUCACAUGAUCAUAACUCCAGUGAGAUCCCUGAAGAACCUGCCAGGUAUUGUCGAACCUGCCCUCCAACGCAACCAUAUAGCGACGGACGUGCUCGUCCUCCUCGCUGACACGGUGACGUAUCACCUCCACGGUGUCCGGAAGCCUCGGCACCGUCACUGGCCCACGCGACCGCCACCAAAUAAGGAUCGGGUCAACAACGGGCUGGCUCCUCACCAACCUACGUCCCUCGGAAGGUAGCACCUCCCAAUACCUGCCCGACGGAGCCCAGUCCUGGACAUGGCCCUGAUCAAGCAGGCCUCCACCGCCGAGUCGACGACGAGGAAGCGGGAUAGGCAUCGUCGACGUCGAUGCGGGAACUACUUCUAUAUAUAAUAAAAUAAAGUAGUUUUAUUAAUUAAAUCAACUAGUUCAACUACUAAGCACUUACUAUAAAUAAAUAAAGUAGUACUUACUAAAAAUAAACUACUUCUAUAUAUAGUAAAAUAAAGUAGUUUAUUAAAUCAACUAGCUAGUUCAACUAUAUAUUAAGCACUUACUAUAAAUAAAAUAAAGUAGUACUUACUAAAAAUAAACUAGUUUAACUAUAGUUCUAUUAUUUUUCUAACUAAUUAUAUUAAACACUUUCUCUUCUUAUUUUCCUUUUUCCUCUAUUCUCAAUAUGAACAUAUUCAUAAAUGACUUUGAUCAUGCACAAUUUCCUAUACAUACAAAAUAUGAACAUAUACAUAAAUUGACAAAAAAAUUCUGUGAACAAAAUAAUCAUUAAAAUUCUAUGAACAAAAUUACAACAGAAAAAAAUCAUAAAAAUUCUAUGAACAGAAAAAAUCAUAAAAAAUUGACAUAUUCGAUCUUUGCAUGUAUAUGAACAUACAAACAUGCAUAUUCAACAAUAAUAUCACCAAAAAAAUCUAUUAAUAGAAAAAUCUACCACAAUAUUUACAAAUUACACAAUAUGAAAAAAAUCUAACCCAAAAAUCUAUGAACUACACAUCUAAAUUACUACACAUCUAACAAAAAAAUCUAACAAAAUGUAACUCAAUUAACUACACAUCUAAAUUAUACUACACAUCCAAAUUAACUACUACAUCAAAUUAAAUUAGCAAAAAAUUUGCUCACGGGGUGGCGACGGCAUGAGGGGCGCGGCGAGGGCGAGGGCGACGGCGACGGCCACGGUGCGUGAGGGGCGGCGCGGUGACGGUUGACGGUGAGGGGCGGCGCGGGGCGGGGUGGCGACAAGCAGGGGCCGACGGUGUNNNNNNNNNNNNNNNNNNNNNNNNNNNNNNNNNNNNNNNNNNNNNNNNNNNNNNNNNNNNNNNNNNNNNNNNNNNNNNNNNNNNNNNNNNNNNNNNNNNNNNNNNNNNNNNNNNNNNNNNNNNNNNNNNNNNNNNNNNNNNNNNNNNNNNNNNNNNNNNNNNNNNNNNNNNNNNNNNNNNNNNNNNNNNNNNNNNNNNNNNNNNNNNNNNNNNNNNNNNNNNNNNNNNNNNNNNNNNNNNNNNNNNNNNNNNNNNNNNNNNNNNNNNNNNNNNNNNNNNNNNNNNNNNNNNNNNNNNNNNNNNNNNNNNNNNNNNNNNNNNNNNNNNNNNNNNNNNNNNNNNNNNNNNNNNNNNNNNNNNNNNNNNNNNNNNNNNNNNNNNNNNNNNNNNNNNNNNNNNNNNNNNNNNNNNNNNNNNNNCGACGGCGUCGGGGCGGCGCGGGACGGCGCGGGGCGACAACGGCGACGGCGAGGCGGAGAUGGGCAGCUUGGCGGCGUCGGGGUGGGGAAGAACGAAACUGAACGAAAUUUUGACGAGUGCCAGUUAUAUAGACGACGCAUUGGUCCCGGUUCAUGAGACAAACCGGGACUAAUGCGACCUUUAGUCCCGGUUGGUGCCACCAACCGGGACCAAAGGCCUCUUUUCAGCAGCCCAAAGGGCGGGAAGCAGAGGCCUUUGGUCCAGGUUGGUGGCACCAAUCGGGACUAAAGGUGGGGCAUUGGUACCGGUUUGUGGCACCGACCGGGACCAAUGCAACCCUUUAGUCCUGGUUUGUGCCACCAACCGGGACUAAAGGUCUUGUGCUGCCCGCGUCGCGGCACGAAAGUUUGGUCCCACCUCGCUAGCUGAGGGAGCUCGAGAGUGGUUUAUAAGCCCCAGUCCCGCUGCCCUCUCGAGCUCCUCUCAAAUGCAGGCUUACGGGACUAAACGCACUAUAUGUGCCUGUGGGCCUAUUGGGCCUACUGCGGGCCUGAAUCCUGGCCCAUUGUUGGGUUUCUAGUCGUAUUCAGGCCUGGUGGCCCUUUAGGUGGCACUUUUUUAUUUUUUUUGUUUUAUUUUUUGCUUUGAAUUAUUUAUUUUCUUUUGAUUUUUGCUUUAUUUUUUUAUUCUUUUUUCUUUUAGCUCAGAAUAAUUAUAAUCUUUCUGUUACUCCAUUAGUUUCCAAAUUUGAAUAAUUAUAAUCUUUAUGCAACUAAAAAUAUAUUUGGAGUGAUUCUUUUUCCUUCUAUCUAAUAUUACUACGUUUUAUCAUUAUAUUGAAAAACAGAUUUUGUUAGUUUAGUUUCUAUCAAAAAAAUCUUUACGACAAUUCUUUUUGCUACUAAAGUUUCUAACAAAAAAUUCUUUAUGAUAAUUAUUUCUGCUUUUCAUGUUUUGAACAGAAAAUACUUUGAUAAUUUUAGUUGCAUAAAUUUUAUAUAAUUUUAGUUUAAAAAAUACUAGAGGUUUAUAAAAGCUUUUUAGUUGAUUCCUUUUGCUAUUAGAGUUUUAUAAAAGCAUUUACUGGUUUUUUUAGCUAUAAGACCUUGAAAUUGAAAAGCAUUUCAAAUGAACUCUGAAAAGGUUGAAAGUUGGCGUGAUAUCAUCAUUUCACCCACAUAGCAUGUGCUAAAAAGUUGAGAGGGUUAUGGAAAAACAGGAUACACUUCGUGUACAAAAUUGACAAUCUCUUUCGAAGUAUCGGGGUUUCAGACGAAAACUCAUCUGUUACACAGGGAUUUCAUUUUUUUAAACUUAUUUGAACUCCUGACUUUUUGUGUGUUCAAAAUGCACCAUUCAAAGCCACAUCAUCAAUUUUCAACCCUUCUGACUUCAUUUGUUAUUUUUCAUGCAUUUAUUGAUUAUUUUGAGCUAUAAGACCCUGAAAUUUAAAAGCAUUUCAAAUGAACUCUGAAAAGGUUGGAAGUUGGUAUGGUAUCAUCAUUUCAUCCACAUAGCAUGUGCAAGAAAGUUGAGAGGGUUACGGCAAAAACUGGAUGCACUUCAUGCAUAAAACGGACAAUCUCUUUCGAAGUAUCAGGAUUUCAUACGGAAACUUGUCUGUUACAAUAGGCAUUUCAAAUGAACUAUGAAAAGGUUGAAAGUUGGCAUGGUAUCAUCAUAAUAGUUGUGGAGAAAGUCUUCACUUUUUCUUCGCUUGUCUCCUUUCCUUAUUGCGCCGUAACCAUGGAUAAUCUUCAUCAUUUAUCAGGAUGCUUGGGUCAGCCUUGACUUUGAAGGAAGGAAUUUCAUGAAACUUUUCAUAAUCUUCGGACAUGUCUGUCUUGCCCUCCACUCCCACGAUGUCCCUUUUUCCUGAAAGAACUAUGUGGCGCUUUGGCUCAUCAUAUGAUGUAUUCGCUUCCUUAUUUUUUCUUUUGGUUUGGUAGACGUGUCCUUCACAUAGAUAACCUGUGCCAAAUCAUUUGCUAGGACGAACGGUUCGUCAGUGUACCCAAGAUUGUGCAGAUCCACUGUUGUCAUCCCGUACUAUGGGUCUACUUGUACCCCGCCUCCUGACAGAUUGACCCAGUUGCAUUUAAACAAAGGGACCUUAAAAUCUACUCCGUAGUCAAGUUCCCAUAUGUCCACUAUGUAACCAUAAUAUGUAACCUUUCCUCUCUCGGUGGCUGUAUCAAAGCGGACACCACUGUUUUGGUUGGUGCUCUUUUGAUCUUGGACGAUCGUGUAAAAUGUAUUCCCAUUUAUCUCGUAUCCUUUCCAAAUCAUUACAGUCGAAGAUGGUCCCCUGGACAACAAGUACAACUCCUCACAAACAGUGUUUUCACUUCUGAGACGUGUUUCCAACCAACUGCUAAAAGUCCGGAUGUGUUCACAUGUAAUCCAGUCGUCGCACUGCUCCGGGUGUUUGGAGCACAGACUGUUCUUGUGUUCAUCGGCAUAAGGGGUCACCAAGGUAGAGUUCUGUAGAACUGUGUAGUGUGCUUGAGACCAACAAUAUCCGUCCCUGCAUAUUAUUGUCUCCCCUCCAAGCGUGCCUUUUCCAGUCAAUCUCCCCUCAUACCACGAUUUAGGGAGACCUAUCUUCUUAAGCCCAGGAAUGAAGUCAACACAAAACCCAAUGACAUCCUCUGUUUGAUGGCCCAUGGAGAUGCUUCCUUCUUGCCUAGCGCGGUUACGGACAUAUUUCUUUAGGAAUCCCAUGAACCUCUCAAAGGGGUACAUAUUGUGUAGAAAUACGGCCCCCAGAAUAACAAUCUCGUCAACUUCAGGGUUAGCUUGUCCAGUGUGAAAUCGGGGCACGAGGCUUUGUCUCCUCUAGUAUAGCAUGUGGGAGAGGACGAUGAGACCCCGCCGUGGAUUGGAAGCUGCAAGGGUUGGGUGCUCCUAUGGCCGAAUAAUCUUAUUCAUCUGGAGCCGGCCGAGAACACAACAAUAACCACACAUCAACAAGCAUGUGCGGAGACCACCACCCCGCCUACGCAAUUACCAGCUCUUGUAGUGCUGGGUGAGAGCGGCAGAUGAUGUGAUGAAGGGGGUGCAAUAGUACUGGCUGAUGUAAUCGGUCCUGUAGAACAGAGAAUGGAUGAUGAGACGGAGGUCGACCCUAUGGGUUUCCUCAAUACAAACGUGUAUGACUGUGACGUAGAUAUGAUGAGUCAACCAUAUGACGAAUCGGGCUAUCAGCAUGCUAAUGAGGAUAUGGAUGAUAUGCCCGGGCAAGAAGGUCAUUGGAAGGAUUGCAAAAAGUCUCUCUUCAUGAAUUCCUCAUAGGACACGCCUGAAGAUGCCGCGUCAACACAGGCUCAACUAGCCGGGGGUCGUACAGUGCUUAGCCCGGGAACCCUGGGGCAGGGGUUAAGGAAGGGUCUGGAAGGUGUGCCCAAGAAAAAGGAGAGAAAGAGAUCGGGGAAGAUAACUGCCUCCAAACAAGCCAGAGCACAUAGCAGCCAGACGAUGGAUUCUGAAGAGCGUGUACCCGUGAAAGGUGCGGCCAUGUUCCAUCUCACGGGUGAGCCGAUGCUACCGCCGAAACUGCUGGAGGCACUACCAGGGGAUCUCAGGAGACUGCACGACCAUGUGCUGUCGACUGAGAAAAGCCUACUAGCCUCAAAGGAUCCAGGAUAUCCGACAUGCGCGGCUCGUGUGCCUGAGGGGAAGUGCUACGUCGAGACACGGCCCACGGAGGUGUUCUUCCUGCGGUUUGACCAUAUCUUUGAGAUGUUUCUAACAAGGCGGCUCGAUUUUACAAUUGUCCGCCUUUUUGUUCUACAUAUGAGCUCCAUCAUGAAAAGUGAAGAAGUCUCACAAAUCUGUGUGGCAGAUCCGUACUACAUGCAUGAGUCUUUCUUGAGUCUCGGCGACUUUGAGCGUGAAACUGCUAGGGACUACCUCCAAAACUUCAUGGUACAGAAUAAGGAUCGGGAAAUUGUCUUCGUGCCUUAUCAUCCAAAGUAAGUCAGUUUCGGACAACCCUUUCGUACAUUUCAAUCAUUCCUUCUCGCUCAUACGGAGAAUAAUUUGAGGUGUCUUUUCCCCACAGCAACGGGCGCGCCGUCCUUAUCGUUCUUUACCCGCAAGUCUCCCAUGCCGUGUAUUUUGACCCUUCCGGAGACUACGAGAAAAAGGACUACACCCACAUAAUGAAUAUUCUAGAUGAUGCUCUCCAAGGCUUCAACAUUAGAGGUGGCCACAUGCAGAUCAUGAAACAAAGGAACAAGAAGAUGGGUUUCGCACAUAAAACUAACUUCUCCUGCAUCCAUGUCCCAAAACCAAGAAAGAAGGAUGGAUUCUACAUCGUCCAUCUCAUGAUUCAGUUCAACACGGAUCACCAAAAGCUUCGCAUGACAAGUAGAAAUGAUGAUCAUAUCCACAAGUGGCUAGAAUCUCAUGGAGAAGCGGAUUAUAAACUUAGAGAUGACUUCUUUCGCAUCCAAAGGGACAUUGCGACGAUCAUCAUGAAAGAAGUCAUCGAUGAGAAGGGGAUGUUCCACCACGGCCCUAUAUCGCGAGCUGACGUCCAAACUCGCAUAGGCAUGCAACGUCUAGAUCUCAUGCCGUUCAAGAACCUAGGGUCCAUCCUCGAUGAUAUGGAAGGAUGGAACUUCUAGUGAUUUAUGAUGCCGACUAUGAUGAUAUGUGUCGGUUGAACUUGUAUAUUUUUUGUAGCGAUGAAACUUUGUGAUGUCUACGGUCCCUGCCGAACUUGCGUAACGCUACUUUGUUAGUUUGCGUACGAUGACCUGCGUACCUCUAUUUAAUUAGUUUGCGUACUGUAUGUUGCAUCUAGUUGCUAACCCUUUCUUUUUCGUGUUGCUCUAGUAUAUUUUGUUGCAUAUGAUUGUACAUCCUCUUCAUGAAGAUGCAUGUCUAACAUGUACCUAGUUUCUUGAUGGCGAGAUGGAAGUGCUAUGUCGUGUACAAAGGGAAGGUUCCGGGGGUGUACGACGAGUGGCCUGAGUGUCAGGCACAAGUGAAUGGGUUCUCGGGCGCCAGCCAUAAAGGCUUCAAAAGCAGACAAGAAGGAGAAGCUAGUUACUUGAGGUUCACGCUAGAGCGAGAGAGGACUCGUAACCGCCGCCUCAUGUACUGUAUAGUUCCACUCUCACUCAUAGUGAUAGCUCUUCUCGCCUAUACCUUUGUUUAGAUGGAUAACAUUGUAGUUGCAAGUAUUCGAGACUUGCAUGUAUCGCUAUUUUCGAGAUGAUGACAACAUACCACUUUGUGUUGGAUGAUGAUUAUGAUGAGACUAUUUGUAUAUAUAUGCUAUGAUUACAUUUGUGGUCUCGCAGACAUUUGUAUGUGUAUCAUGAUGACAUUUGUAUGUGCUAAAGAUUCUUCUAUAAAGCCUAUUCAAAUACAAAACAAAUAUGCAGAAAAAAAACAAAAACUAUUAAAAUUAGCAGUAGCGAGUGGAGAAAAGUAAGCAACAGCGCGAUAGUAGCAGUAGCGCGCACAGGAGAAGCGCGCUAUAGCUAUUAGCAGUAGCGAGCUCCACCGAAGAACGUUGCUGCUACACUUGUAUAUCAGUAGCGCGGGCGCGCACGCGCUGCUGCUACGGGUUAGCUGUAGCACCUUAUUAGUAGCGCCGCCUCCCGCGCUACUGAUAUACCUAGAACCCGCGCUACUGCUAGGCUUUUCCCUAGUAGUGAAAUGAAUAAAAGAGGAUGUAUCUAUACAUCUAGAUACAUCCCCUUUUAUAUAUUUUGAUGACAAGUAUUUCCAGACGGAGGGGGUAUAUUUAUAUAAUUAACCACUAGCAACUAGGAACACAACCGCUAGAGUCGUGCUAUGCACAGGACAAAUUUUGAACGAUUCACACACGAAGAUUGAAUACUGCUGGACAUGCAUAUGAGUGAGAAGGGCACUAGCCGCUGGAUUUGCAUGUUGUGCACAGCUCGGCCACAAGUAUCGUUUGUGGAGCAGUUUCACAUUAGCUAAUGGCGCAUCAUACUAGUCCACGUUUCAACAGGGCAACCCUACAAAAUUGGUGUGCUACAUAUAUAAGACUUACAUACACAACAAUAGCAUGCAUUAUUCAAAAGAGCAACAUCCUAGUGUAAUCCUCCAGAGCGGGGAGCCUCUGCUCAUCGUCAUAGCCAUACAUGAUGCUGACCAUCCUUGCAAAGUUGAGAGACGCCCCGAUGAAGCUAGGUGGUAGUGUGGACUUUGUCUGAGAGAAGCAUUCCCUGUUUAGAUGCUCCCAUUCACCCGCUAUCAUAUCCAACAUGUG
rnacentral:lncRNA from 1 species